rnacentral:lncRNA from 1 species
GUUACUUGUUACAGAAACUGCUGGUUUUGAACGCUAGAAAGCUCCUGGCAUGGACAAGACAGAAGUGGGAAGGCUAUUGCUGCUCCAUGCUCCCGGCUUGACUUAAAUAUAUGGACCUGAUUAUCCUGUUGGAAUUAAUCAUUCUUGUUGUGGCAGCUACAUAUUAAUCUAGUUCUAGUCUCUAAUCUUUAUACCCCACAUGCCUUCUGUAUGUUGAAUUAGUUUCCUAUCUAGUUCAAUGUAGAUUCUGAUUCUAGCUCCUAGACUUGUGUUCAAGUGUCUUUCAUUUAACAGAUGAGUGCAAAGAAGGCCACUGGAUCCGCUAGAAAUUGUUCGAGCUGCAGGGUUUUGCUUGCUCGCUUGCUUACUUUGCUACCUCUUUGUAACCUGGUCGAUUUUGUUUUCUUCUACCAUUCUCAGUGUCGUGAAAAUGGAGAUGCACUGCUUCACAUUCUUAAUCUAAUUUAAUGUGUAAAAUGGCAGGCAAAUGCUGCUGCAAAGAUAUUAGUGGUAUAUGUGCAUGCAUUUGACAAUAUGAUUUCACAUGUGUGUUUGAAAAUUAACCAUACAGAUUAUGGUACUGUUAAUUUGGUGCAGUUGAAUGAGUGCUUGGUGUUGAUAUUUUGUUAAAUGAGCAUUAUGUUGUCUUAUAAUAGAUUGAUUUGCACUGUUUUGGUUAAUCAUAGUCCCACCACCGUAUGUGAUUUAAUUGACUAAGAUGUUGCAGUAGACUUUGUUGCUAGCUAUUUAAGAUCACUUAAGAUAUUAAUAAACAUCAUGUUGUGAUAGUGGUGGUCAUUGUGUUAAAUAAAUUGUAACACUGGUAAUCUAGUAGAAAUUUUGAUCAAAUUGGAACUUUCAUAUGCUUAUAAAGCUUUCCUAUGAACAUUCAUAGGGAUUUUAGCAUGGCUGCUGUUGGCCCUUUGUAUUAAUAUGUAAUAAGUGUAUGUACAAACUGGAUGUUAAAAUGACAGGGAUUUCUGAUGGCGGUGGUGCACAUCCCGCGCCAGUUCAAGGUGCUGGACUGGUUCCUGAACAGGAAGGACUACAAGGACGGGAGGUUCGCCCAGGUCGUCUCCAACGCCAUCGACAUGAAGCUCAAGGAUGAUCUUGAGAGGCUCAAGAAGAUCACGUAUAACCUCGCUGUUCCUGGUUCUUUUUUCCCCUUACUACUAGUUGAUAUAUGACUAUGUGUUAGAUUCAACUACUGAAGAUCCUUGCACUUCAUAUCAGGACUAGCAGUUUGUGUCUUGCCUGGUAGUAUAUAGUUUAAUUUGCUAUCAUUAGCUAGGGUUGUUGAUUGACUUAGUUUUCUACUGGAAGUCAAAUCUCCUAAACACUAGAAUGCCUGAAAUGUCAGGGUAGCAAGUACUAGCCAUGUGCUUCAUUCUAUGUACCGUUCUGGUGUCUCUGCAUGUAUGGUCUAGCUUUUUGUGUAGAAUAGUGAGUUGAUGCUUCUUUCUACAGAAAUACAACAUGUUAGCUCUAUGGAUGUUUAUUUACCUACAACUUUUGCCAUCUCUAACUUGGUUAUAUAACCGUUCAAUUCAGUCAAUCUUUGGGGUGUUGAUACACUACUGUGCAAGUUCUAUGGUAUGUGAGUUUCUUCUAUUGCUGCAAGCAUUGACACAAUAUGUCAUGUGCAGGGAGCUCCGCAUCCGAGUCUCGUCCAUCCUCGGCAGCAAGGAGCUGGGCCAAGGGAGCAAGCAGCGCUGCUGGUUACUUGGGGCCAGAUCGAAUUAGAUGACACACCAUGGCGUGUGGCGGCCUAUUUUGCUUCCAAGAGCAGUACUGUCUAUUUGAAAUGAGAUGUACUCGUCUACGGCCUAGUAAAAAAUUUAAGGAUUGUCAUGUACUGUCUAUGAUGUAGUGAGCUGUAGGAGUGAAAUGAAAUUUUAUCUGCUAUUGUAUGUGCUAUUUUCCUGUAAUGUGUUGUGUACAUUUUACUUGAACAUUAAAUUCUCCAGAAAAUGUUCUUACCGGACUUGAUAGUGGCCAUGGCCCAAAUAUACUUGCACUAUUAACAUGCCAUGGCCCAAAAUAACCUGGGCGGAAAAGCUAUUCAGAAGUACUAUAAGCAGGCCUCGACUUAAAUAGAAAAUAGAAACAAAAAGGAAAUGAACUAUGCAAAAACGUAAAGGCCCAUGAUAGAAAAGGCCUGAAAACAUUCAAGGAAAAAAAAUACUAAAUGGGCUGAAUUGUUGGGCUCGGCCCAUAUAGACACCUAAUUGGACCGGGUUGAAUCUUAUCAAUGACCUUUUCAAUUGGUCGCAAUUUUGCCAUGUCAGAUUGCCACGUCGGAUUCAACAUGGCCUAGGCAGAGAAUUAGCGACCAAAAUAGAAAGUCAUAGAAUCAACGACCUUUUGUUUUGGUCGUGGAAUUCCAUGACCUUCCCACAGAGAAGGUCGUUAAUUUCAGUUUACGACUGCCAGAUUUUGACCUUCUGUUUUUGGUCACAAAAACAUCGCAGAUGAAAAACAAUGACCUUUCAGUGACCAAUAGUGAUGGUUGCAAGUUGACAUAUUUCUUGUAGUGCACGGGGUCAUUGCCUCGUCUUUGUACAAGGGGUUACAUGCAGCUGAAGCAAGGCCUGUACAAAAGGGCGGCUGCCGGGCAGUGCCCGGCAGCCUCGCGCCUUACGGGUAGUACUUACGGAGAUGCUCAAUAUUCCAUGAGUUUUGCAAUUGAGUGCCAUCUCCGAUCUCCAGACGGACAGCGCCGGGUCUGGUGACUCGUACCACUCGGUAAGGGCUUUUCCACUUCGGUGACAACUUGUUUGUACCCUUGGCGGACUGAAUGCGCCUAAGGACAAGGUCACCUUCCUCAAAACACCGGGCAUCAACCUUGCGGCUCUGAUAGCGGUGCAGGGCUUGCUGGUAGCGUGCAGUACGCGUAGCAGCCCGGAGACGGUUCUCCUCGAGUAGCACAACGUCGUCACACUGGUGCUGAUCUUGCGCUACUUCGUCGUAGGAAAGCACUCGAGGGGACCCGUAAUGAGUUCUGUGGGGAUAACUUCUUCUUCCCCGUAGACUAGGGAGAACGGAGUCUUCCCGGUAGCUCAGUUAGGUGUCGUUCUGAGGGACCAGAGAACUACCAGCAGCUCCUCGAUCCACCGCCUACCGUGCUUCUGAAGCGUAUUGAAAGUUCUUGUCUUAAGUCCACAUAGCACUUCAACGUUCACCCUCUCAGCUUGUCCAUUGCUCUAGGAGUGUGCCACAGAGGCGAAUGAGAUCUUGCAUCCGAGGGUACGACCAUACUGCAUGAAGCUGUGGCUCGUGAAUUGGGUGUCGUUGUCGGUGAUGAUCGUUGCCGGAACUCUAAAACGACACACCAAUUCUUUCAAGAACUUGAUAGCUGACUGAGCAGUCACCUUUCUCACGACAGUCACUUCCGACCACUUUGUAAACUCGUCGAUAGCGACCAACAAGAAUUCAAAGUCUCCGAUUGCUCGGGGGAAGGGGCCGAGGAUAUCGACCCCCCAGACCGAAAAUGGCCAUGAUAAAGGGAUUGUCUGAAGGGCUUGGGCAGGCAGGUGUGUUCUCUUGGAAUGGAACUGAUAGGCUUUACAUGUCGUGACGACCUCGACCGCAUCUUGGAGGGCUGUGGGCCAAUAUAGUCAGUGUCGGAAUGCUUUCCCAACAAAUGCCCUUGAUCCAAUGUGUGAGCCACGCAUUCCUCUAUGUAUAUCAGCCAACAGUUCCUUUCCAUCCUCCCGGCAGACACACUUCAAUUUCACACUGUUGGGCCUCCUUAUGUAUAGAGUGUCAUCGACAAACUUAUACAUACUGGCCCUCCAGGAUACUUUCUCAGCUUCAUCUUGGUCGCCGGGAAGUUCUGUGGUUUGGAGGAAGCGGACGACGUACCUUGCCCAAGUUGGAGCCUCGGGCUCGGUAACGAGGACUAGCGACAGCUCCUCUGCUGCGGGAGCACCAACCUCGUUCACAGGGUCCAUGGGCCUGGCUGGAGGGGGUGUCCGGCAGGCUGUGAGGAGUUGUUUUCGACAGGGUCUCUGCCGGUAGUGAACGACUCUACUGGGAGAGGCUUACCGUAGUCCAACUUUCUCCUUUUCCGAGCAUUGUGGCUGGUGACACGGAGGGCUGAGAGAGACGGAGACAAAAGUUCCUGGUUCCACAGGAAGCUUCUGCGCGGCACACUUCGACAGGUGAUCAGGUAUGCUGUUUUCCGCAUGGGGUACGUGCUCUGUUUGCAACCCAUCAAAGUGCUCCUCCAAUCUCCUCACUUCCUCGACAUAUGCUUCCAUCAAUGGGCUUUGAUAAUCCUUAUUGACUUGUCUCACCACAAGCUAUGAAUCUCCUCAUAUGAUCAGCUUCUUGAUUCCCAAUUCUGCUGCAAUUUUGGGCCCGGCAAGGAGCCCUUUGAUACGUCUCCAACGUAUCAAUAAUUUAUGAAGUAUUCAUGCUGUUAUUUUAUCAUUCUUAGAUGUUUUACAAACAUUUUAUAGCAACUUUAUAUCAUUUUGUGGGACUAACCUAUUGACCUAGUGCCCAGUGCGAGUUGUUGUUUUUUGCUUGUUUUUUACAUCGCAUAUCAAACGGGGUCCAAAAUCGUGAAACUUUUUGGAGAAAUUUUAUGGACCAGAACACCCAUGAUGGGCCAGAGCAGCACCUGGGGGCCCAGGCGCGCCCAGGUGGUUUGUGCCCACCUCGGUGGCCUCCCGCGCCCCCUCUUUACCCUAUAAAUUCACAAAUAUUCCAAAAACCCUCGAGGUUAACCUAGAUCAGAAGUUCCGCCGCCGCAAGGCUAUGUAGCCACCUAAAACCAAUCUAGACCCUGUUCCGGCACUCUAUCGGAGGGGGAAAUCAUCACCGGUGGCCAUCUUCAUCUUCCCGGCAGCCACCACGAUGAGGAGGGAGUAGUCCAACCUCGGGGCUGAGGGUUUGUACCAGUAGCUAUGUGUUUAAUCUCUCUCUCACUCUCGUGUUCUUGAGAUGUCACGAUCAUGAUGUAUCGCAGGCUUUGUUAAUAUAGUCGGAUCAUAUGGUGUUUUCCCCUCUCUAUCUUGCUGUGAUGAAUUGAGUUUUUUCCUUUGAGAUUUCAUUGUUAUCGGAUUGAAUGCUUUUAUGGAUUUGAGAACACUUGAUAUAUAUAUCUUGCAAUUGAAUACUCGUGGUGACAAUGGGGCAUCGUAUUGAUUCACUUGAUAUAUGUUUUGGUACUCAACUCGUGGAUUCCCAAGGUGACAUUGGGGUAAUCUAUGCAUAAGGGUUGAUGCACAUUCUUGUCUUUGUUUCUCCAGUAGAAAUCUUGGGGCACUCUUUGAAGCUCUUUGUGUUGGAUUGAAUAUUAUAAAUUUUAAUUUGCUUUGGUGUUAUUUUAGUACAAACUCUUGGUUAGAUCGAUCAGAAAGAAUAGCUUCGUGUUAUUUUAGUAUGAACUCUAGGAUAGAUUGAUCGGAAAGAAUAGCAUUGAGGUGGUUUCAUACACUACAAACAAUUUCGUCUUAUGUUCUCCGCUAGAUAGGAACUUUGGAGUGAUUCUUCGUUGCACGUUGAGGGACGGUUAUAUGAUCCAAUUAUAUUAGCACUGUUGAGAGAUUGCACUAGUGAAAGUACGGACCCUAGGCCUUGUUUUUAAGCAUUGCAAUACCAUUUUUGUGCCCGUUUACUAUUUGCUACCUUGCUGUUUUUAUUUAUUCAGAUUAUAAAAUUAUAUUUCUACCAUCCACAUUACACUUGUAUCAAUCUCUUCACCGAACUAGUACACCUAUACAAAUUGCCAUUGUAUUGGAUGUGUUGGGGACACAAGUGAUUUCUUGUAUUUGAUUGUAGGGUCGUUUGAGAGAGACCAUCUUCAUCCUAGACCUCCCAUGGAUUGAUAAACCUUAGGUCAUCCACUUGAUGGAAAAUUGCUACUGUUCUACAAAACUCUGCGCUUGGAGGCCCAACACGUAUUUACAAGAAUAAAGUUGCAUAGUAGACAUCACCCUUCAUUCUCAGUUGUAUUGUUGGUGGCUUCUUCCCGGGCAAAGUGCAUUUGGACGAAGUACUUCAAGUGCUCCCCGGAGGGAGCGACAAGAACCACGCCAGCCCUGCACCUUGUAGGGAAAAAGCACCCUCAAAAUACAUAAUCUAUUCUUGGGGCGAUUCCUUACCGGGGAUAGCUGUCUCUGUCACUUCCUCAUCAGGGGUUGGUGUCCAUUCUGCAAUAAAUUCUGCCAGCGCCCUGCUCUGAAUAGUUGAUGUGCUCUCAAACUUCAAACCAAAGCUGGAUAACUCCAAAGCCCACUCCACUAUUCUACCGGUAGCCUUAGGGUUUCAGAGUAUCCUUUGCAACGGAAAACAAGUUACAACUGUGAUCUCAUGGGCUUGGAAGUAGUGGCGCAGUUUCCUUGAGGCCAUAAUGAGACCAAAUAUCAACUUUUGCAUGCCAGAGUACCUCGAUCUAGCCCCUUGUAAAAAGGAGUUGACGAAGUACACUGGGCGCUGCACCACUUUAUUCCUUGCCGCGUCUUUGGGGUUGCUCUCAUUGUCGUGCUCAUUGAUGUUUUGAUCCUUUUCUGACUCUGCUGUUAUCUGCCCACUUUCUCCCUCAUCCACUUCUCGCUGUGCUACCAAGGCCGCACUGACCACUUGGUUGGUUGCCUCCAAGUAUAGCAACAACUGCUCUUGGGGUUUGGGUGCAACCAAGGUAGGCACAGACGAUAAGUACGCCUUCAAUUCCUGCAUAGCUGCAUCUGCUUCCGGGGUCCACUUCAUAGGCCCUGCAUUCUUCAAAAUUUUAAGAAUGCCAGGGCACGCUCAGCAGACUUGGAAAUGAAUCUACUUAGCACAGCAAUGCAUCCCAUCAAGCGCCUCACAUCCUUAACUGUCCUUGGUGCUUGGAUUUGCUCGAUGGCUUUGAUCUUGUCGGGGUUAGCUUCGAUCCCCCGAUGGGACACGAAGAAACCAAGCAUCUUGCUGGAGGGGACUCCAAACACACACUUCUCUGGAUUAAGCUUCAAAUUGAUAUUGCGCAGACUAGCAAAUGUCUCCACCAAAUCCUGGAUAAGAGUGGUCUUAUCCCUGGUUUUGACCACGAUAUCAUCCAUAUAGGCUUCUAUGUUUUUGUGUAACUGUGGCUCAAAACCAAUCUGAACUGCCCUUGCAAAAGUGGACCCGACACUCUUUAGUCCGAAUGAGUGCGGACAAAGCAGUACAUACCACAUGGAGUGAUGAACGAUGUCUUCUCUUCAUCUUCUUUGGACAUGAAGAUCUGGUGAUAUCCGGAAUAUGCGUCCAGAAAGGAGAGCAAAUCACACCCUGAUUUGGAAUCCACAAUCUAGUCGAUACGUGGCAAGGGAAAUGGUCCUUUGGGCAAGCCUUGUUGAGAUCUGUGAAAUCAAUGCAAAGUCUCCAUUUCCCAUUUUCCUUCUGGACUACCACUGGAUUUGCUAACCAUGUAGGAUGGAGUUCUCCUCUGACCAAACCAGCUAACUCCAGUUUCUUGAUUUCCUCGACAAUGAACUGCUGCCUUUCCAAUGCCUGCUUCCGGACUUUCUGCUUGACAGGUCGGGCAUGUGGGCAGACAACAAGGUGGUGCUCGAUUACCUUCUUGGGAACACCAGGGAUAUCAGAUGGUUGCCAGGCAAACACAUCGAUAUUCGCCCACAGGAAAGCAACGAGCGCGUUUUCCUAUUUGUCAUCAAGGGUGGCACAGAUGGUGAAAGUACUGUCAACGCCAGCCAGCCCUGUCGGGACCUUCUUCACUUGGGGUGUAGCAACCUUGGAUCUCUUGCUGUCGGAACACUUCGGCACGUUGUCAAUGGGUGCCGUGCACUCAAAGGGGGCACGCUUCCCAGACUCCUUGCCGGAUGUCCAACAAUCCCUUUUCUUUCCUUGGAGGGAGUUGUUGCUGCCGCAGCCUCUAAUGCGACUGCAUCCCGGUACAUCUUGUCCACGCAGAUAAUUGCAUCCUUCUCAUCCGAUGGGAUAGUGAUGACUCCCAGUGGCCCAGGCAUCUUCAGAGUGUUAUAAGCAUAGUCGGAUGCUGCCAUGAACUUGGCCAGGGCUGGGCAUCCAAGAAUCCCAUUGUACGGUAGGGGGAGAUCAACCACAUCAAACACAACCUUCUUUGUUCGGAAGUUCAGUUCUCCCCCAAAUGUCACCGGCAACGUAAUCUUCCCUUUAGGAUGGCUCCUGCCGAGGUUAACUCCUUGAAACAUGCCGGUAACCUUCACUACAAAAAAAAAGACACAUCCAUGACAUUUUGGGCCGAACGAUUUUUUUUCCUGUCAUACUUAUGACACUUCUAUGAUGAUAAUUGUGACAAAACCCGGUAUCAUCAUAGAUGUGGUGGGCUCCUACUUCUAUGACAAAACAUCAUGGAAGAAAAUGGGCAUUUUUUCCUGGGCGGGCCGGAGAUGCAGCCGCAUGACAUUCUUUGGCCCGUAUAUGACGGAAAAAACCGUGGUAGAAGCGAGGGCGAGGAAAAUAUCGGGGUGUCCCCGGUUACGGUGGGUGGUCGGGGCCGAGCGAUGCAUGGAGGUUUGCGCGUUUCUCUCAUACACGUACGUGCGUGGGUGCGAGGCGUUGGGCUCUAACUAAACCCGAGCGAAGAGUUCACCUACUGAACCCGAGCGAUUGCACUGCAGGCUACGCGUUACUGAACCCGAGCAAUCGAUCGAUGGCUGUUAACUAAACCCGAUCGAGCGAUUCCUUCGCUACUGCUACUAACUGAAGCCGAUCGAUGCUCUGGAUGAAUAGUGAGCGUUGCUGGGGGGUUUGAAUGAAUAAUUCUCGAUGGGGGUGGAUGAACAGGACCCCGUGGUGUUGCCUCUGGAUGAAUAGGACCCCGAUCGAUCAAGCCGGUUGGGCCUAGAUGAACAGGACCCUGUGGAGGGCUAGAUGAACUGGACCACCCGAUGGAGGGCUGGAUGAAUAGUAGACGGUGGAGGGCUGGAUGAACAGUAGCCCGUGGAGGGGUGGUUGAACAGGAGCCUGUGGAGAGGGCUGGUUGAACAGUAGCCAAUGGAGUAGCGCGUGGUAGAGGCUGGAUGAACAGGAGCCCAUGGAUGAACAGUCGCGGGUGGUGGCUGGAGGAGAUCGACGGUGGAUGAGUAGUAGUCCGUGGAGGCUGGAGGGGGUGGACAGUGGAGAUGAACAGUAUCCCGUGGAGUCCCGUUUUGCAGUACGCCACACCCCUCCCGAUGAACAGGACCCCCGUUUCGACCGUACGCACCAACACAAGUCUGUUUCCUCCGUUUUGCGGUACGCCACACCCCUCCCGAUGAACAGGACCCCCGUUUCGACCGUAGGAGGUCCGUUUCCUCCAUUUUGAGGUACGCCAGACCCCUCCCGAUGAACAGGAUCCCGCUUCGACCGUGGCCGGUCGAACCCAAGGCCGUUUCCUCCGUUCUGUGGUACGCCAGGCCUCGUUUCCAUCGGCUAUUCUGUCUAAGCCCUCCCGAUGAACACAACGACGCAUUCUGUUCCGACCCAGCCGGUUGGCUCCCCAUGAACACGAUGACGACGCCGUUUCUCCAUUCUGACCCAGCCAUGUACACGAGCCCUCGCCGUGCAUAUGCGCGAGUAGGCGUUCGAGACCCCGCUCGUAUGUACAUACGUGGCCGUAUUUUCGUUCUUGCACACUGUCCGCUGUACGUAUGUGUACAUGCUACAUGCGCGCCUCUACUACAACACGUGCCCGCUCUACAUCGACCAUUAUGUACAUACACGUUCGUGACCAGGAUGACAACGCUAUGUACGCUUCGACCAGGUGGGUCCCGACUGUCAGGCACUUCCUUGCAUGCGAAGAUAUAGCUGGUGGGUCCCAGCAGUCCGGGGGGCGAAUCGUUUUUUUGCCUAGACACACUUCCUUGCAUGCGAAGAUGUAGCUGGUGGGUCCCAGCAGUCAGGGGGGAAACGUUUUUUCAUGAAAUACGGUGGGCUGUCCGGUGGGUCCCCGAUGUAAGGUGCAGGAAUAAUUAUUUUGUGUGUAAUAAGGAGGCACUUCCUUGCGGCUGCCGUGGACGCAGCUGUCAGGCUCUCCACGUACAGUACUCUUCCGAUGGAAGUCGGUCGUUGACCACAUUGACCAUGCCGCGCCGAGAGCACCAAGGGGUGGACGACGGCGAGGCCUAGGAAGGGGACGACGCGGAGCCAGGGAAGACGCAACAGUGGAUGCCCACGUGGAGAGGAGUACGAGGGUUCACUGGUUCGGCUGUGGUGUGAGGCUGUCGUCGCCGCAGAAUAACAGGGGGUGUGGGUGAGUAGAGGGAUGGCCUGGCCAGCGGUGGGAGUAGUAGGGGGCGGUGAGGCCUCCGUGGCAUCACAGCCGGCCACGGGAGGCAGGAGCACGCAGCACGACCGACGCUGGUUUGGGCGGCUGGAGCAAGAAGACCAGAGGUUGAAGAAGCACUACGGCUGUUGGAUGGACAUCGUACGGUCACUAGAGCUAGAAUAGUUCAGAUAUUGAUUAAGUUCACAAAGCCCUCCGUCCCCGUCAACUUAGUAGGCCCACAAAUCAGCCUCCCACUAUGGUGGGUCCCAGCUGGCAGGGGGUAUUCAAUUUUUUGUGCGCAAUAAGGAGGCACUUCCUUGUGUGCGAAGAUAUAGUUGGUGGGUCCGACCUCUCAGCGAAGGGAACGUUUUUUUCACGAAAUAUAGAGGCCCUUCCGGCGGGUCCCAGAUGUCAGGUGGAGGAAUCAUUAUUUUGCAUGUAAUAAGGAGGCAUUUCCUGUGUGCGGCUGUGGACCCAGCUGUCAGCCUCUCCAUGUACAGUCGACUUCCAAUGGGUGUCGUUCGUUGACCACGCCGAGCCGAGAGCACCAAGGUGGUGGACGACGACGAGGCCUACGAAGGGAACGACACGGAGCCGGGGAAGACACGACAGUGGCUGCCCACGCGGUGGAGAGUACGAGGGUUGACUGGUUCGGCUGUCGUUGCUGGAAAAUAACAGGAGGUGUGGGUGAUUAGAGGGAUGGACAGGCCAGGGAUGCAAGUAUAUCAUGGGGCCGUGAGGCCUUCCCGGCAGCACAUCCGGGCAUGGGAGGCAGGAGCAGGCGGUUCUGACGGUGCUGGUUUGGGCGGAUGGGGCAGGAAGAUCAGAAACCGAAGAAGCACGAUUGCUAUUAGAUUGACAUCUGACGGUCUGACGCUGGUAGAGUCGAUUGUUGACUAAGUUUCUUUUUUGAGAAACCUUGUGUAUGCGUGAACUUAGUAGGCCCACAAGUCAGCCUCCAAAUCUGUGCCAGACAACAUAGAGCCCAUUUUUUAUUUUUUUUAAUAAUUUGCAGCCCAUUUGCUACUUCUUAAGUAAUUUAUUACAGCCCAUUUUCUGCCCAGGACCACAGUCAAAAAGUUCAACCUUAUUUUGCAUAUUUCGGUGGAGUCCGAACUUUUGUAAUCCCGAAAUGAUAAACAUUUUUUAAGAACUUAUUGAUUUGCCAAAAAAUCAUUUUGUUUUUGUAAGCAAAUAAGAUGUGGGACAAUUGAGUUGGUUUAAGGGAAAACCAGUGGUAAAAAAAUCAGCGCUGGGAGGGAAAACAACAACAAAAAUAAGGACGUAAAUAUGAAAAGGGAAUUUUAUGUAUUUUCAAUAUAAUUAUACAUGUAUAUGAACUAGUAAAACUAUAGGUAGAGAUUAGAAAACGGAUGUAGGACAUGCGUUUCAAGAGGAAAAUAGAACUGGGCUGUGUGUUUGAUUCAGUAAAAAACUGCCUAUGGAUGUUGUAAGACAAAAUAUAACUAACUCUGGCGGGCCAGAGGCCAGUAGAUACCUACUGGAUCUUUGUGCCCCGUUAUCGUCGUGGGCUGGGCUUGUUAAAAACAAAACUAAACCUGGGUAGUCUACAGCCUAGUUGAAACUUGCUCGACCUAAAAAAACAAUAUACGUGCUCAAUAAACGAGAGAAUUCUGCAAGUACAGACUGAUAACUGGGAUGCAGCAGGGAUAUUGUUUUUUCAUCAUGAUAAUAAGUGCAUGCACUUGUUUCGAAAAAUUUGGAGAACUGGGAAUUCGAAUGGCGGGUGCUUAUGCUACCCAUCAAAUAAAAAUCAGGUGCUUGAAAAUUCGUUUCGAAACAAAUGAUCCAGCUUUAUAUCCACGUCGACCUCGGCAUGAUGAUUGGAAGAAAAUGCCAAGUUCAUACCAAAAGAUCGUUAACAACAUACCAACUUGCGGACGACAAGGUAGUACAAGUACCAAUACCAAACUAACUUAUAAUCUUUUUACUCCUGGCCCUAGUGUUCGUCUGGUAAAAAAUCUUGCAGAUGACCAGCUCCCGCUCCUUCUCUUGCUCCAAGUCCCCGAGGUGGUAUUGGUGCAUCACCCAGUUGGUCCCCUGCUGGUCGAAGUUCUUGUUGGUGUGCAGCACCAAAACCUUUUUGCUACCCGUUGACCAUCACCAGCAAGAUAUUGCCGGUGUUGUGCCACAUCACGUGCAUGCCGCACUUCGACUGUAUCUCGCGACGUGUCCACGUGCCCUUUUGAACAACCCGGAAUUGCGCUGGAAGAAAUGCUUGCUUAGGCCACUCAGUGUGAUACCUGCAGUAUUGUUGAAUACAGGUUUUGGUAUACGUAGUUGGCAUUUUCAUAACAUCUUUGGCAUGUUGUAGUCACUUGUUUCACUUUUUAUUAACUGUCAAAUUGUAAUUGCUUCACCAGGUUUGUGUCUAAAAAUAAAAAUAGAGCUAUAAACAAAGGAAUAUGUUUGUGCAAGUAGACGGCCAAUCGGUGUCUUACCUGGAUGUUUCUCAGGAUGGGUCUAGCAUAUGUCGUGCUCGCUGUCGAUGGUUGGUAUGAAUAUAUCGAUGAGAGGGUGAGAUCUUGCGCUGUCAGCACUCACUUUGGAAUCGAACUUGAUGCCAGCCGACAGCACUGGCCAAUCCUUCUUCGACUUGCAUCGGUUAAUUCCAGUUAUAUGGUACUCAAUGUCCGAUCAAUCGACUGUUCUAAGUGAAUGAUGAAAGAUUUUCGACAGAUAAGUGGUACUCCAAAUCUGAAGUCCAGAAUACCCGAACACGCCGCCGGGAUUCUUGUGUCACCUCAUGCGCAGCGUGUUGUCACGUCAAUUCAAUGUGUGGACAUGAUGAAUAAUUUGACCGACGUAUAUUACUACUGCUACUGUACAACUUACUAGUCGUAUUUAGUGUCACAUUUUAACCAUAGGUUUAACUAACAAGUACGCACUUGAAGCCUAAUUGAUAUAUAUAUAUAUAUAUGUAUAUAUAUAUAUAUAUAUAUAUAUAUAUAUAUAUAUAUAUAUAUAUAUAUAUAUAUAUACAUACAUACUGCACACCAUCUCCAUCAUCAUUAUAAGUACAUCCUGCGCAGGUGAGUUAGGAUGCACUUGAUCCUAGAAAGGUAUCUAUCCUUCAAACCAGAGGAGUGCUUCAAACUAACAACAGUACAUAAUAUCCAACAAAAGAGGGUCGUGCUACAACAGCAGAAUACACGGCUCAGUCUACAUAUCAGUACGAAUCAAGUUGUGCAUAUUUGUUGUUGGCAUGAACCACAUCGCCGCAUGUCGGGUUUGCAAAAGCCAUCCAUCGCAUGGAAGCUUGAUGCUUUUCACACACUGAAGAUUAUCUGGCAACAAGUUGUGUCGACGAAUCUCUGGAUAUGGUGAUCCAUGAAACCCAUGGUAUGAUGUGUAAACACAGUCCCCCCUGUCGAAUGGAAGUUGCAUAGCACGGUAAUCAUCACCGUGAUAUGAUCGAUGAUUGGUUGGAUGAUCGGAUAAUUGAGCCCGAGGAACAUGGAGUGGUUGCCGAGGUUGUAAACCCGCCUCCAGUUGAAUAUGCCUGGCCCAACGGAGCUGGGAUCUUUCUCGAACACGAAGCAGCCAUAGCCAUCAAUGUCACGAACGCCCCAGGCAUUGUACUGCAUGUGGUUUGAUGUAAUGGUUUGGUCAAUUUGGUACGUGCGAAUGAGCAUCAAAUGACCACCGUCAGCUGAACGAGUGAUAAACCACCAACCAUCGGCUGGUAUGAUUGCAGGUCCUGGAAUCAUGAAGACUGGCGCAUUUGUGUGUGCUGCAACAAUUCAAAUUGGAGACCAAAAGGACAAAAAUAAACAAUCAUGUUCAGAGUAUGUGUGGAAUUAAGAUUAUUAUAACAGUGACACAUAUCAUAGACAGAGAAUUGCAAUGCCUCAUAAUCAUACCCCAAGUUAAAAAAAAUAAGCCAAUGGCUUUCAUAUUCUGGCAAUAUGUCAUGGUUCAAACAUCAUGUAACAAUGAGAGGAAAACAGCUAUAACAGAGCCUACUCAUAUUCUACCAUAGCACUUACUACUACUGUUCUCAUAUCAACUCUAAGCAAUAACAUGCGUUGUUAUAAAAAUCUUGAAAAUGAGAGUAACAUACAUCAAUCAUGAUGUUAUGCUCAUAAUAUCUAUUCUAACAAUCAUUCAAUGCCAAUUAUUCUCAUAUCAACUCUAACAAUAACAUGAGUGGUCAUAAAAAUCUAGGAAAUGAGAAGAACAUAUAGUAAUGAUGUGGUUAUGGACGUACUAUAUAUUCUAAUUUUGUAAAAAUGAAUAGGCAGUCGUAUUCAUAAGGUAAAGAUGAGAUGAGAUAGAACAAUUACAUGACGAUACAUUCCACAAGUAUAGGCAGCCAAUCUGUGCGUCGACCGCGUAAACGAUGCCAUCAUGCACUAUAGCAUCAGACAAAAAUGUUGCCUCAACAGGAUUGACGAUGAGCCAUAACCAUGUAUGGCGACCGGAUUCUAGAUAGACUAAUCCCAUGUUGAACAAGGCAAUGAGCUUGUAAUCCAUGUAGUCUUCUGAUGGUGUGGGAACUUCGCAGAUUACAACUUUCAGCAAAUAAAGGUCGAGCCAAAAGCUUGAUGCGUCUCGUGUAUAGUAGGCAGGAGUGUCCGGCGGGCCGCGAGGCUCGAUGGCAGCGGUAUCCAAUGAUGGAAGGGUGAUCUCCCGCUGGGAGUAGAUAUCCACGAGACGCCACGGACUACUGGAUUAGUGGAUGAGGACGAUCCAGUUGGCCUUCAUGCCCGCCUAGUAGUGGCCGCACAUGAAGGACAUGUGGACGGGUAGUGGUAGCAUGUCGAGGGGCACCACGGCAACCUCCGUAGGAUCGUCAAGUCGGUGUCUGGGCCACCUGCGAGGAUCGGGCAUUAGCAAGCAGGGUGUCUUCAAAAGAGCCAGCCGGUUGCAGACGAGUAGACGGUACAAAGACACCGAGCAUGCGGCCAGACGUACGGUGCUGAGUAGGUCCAUACGAUUACAUAUCUGCUCCAAGAGAACAUCGGGGAGGGAAUCCCAAUCGCGGCUCUGUGUGUCAGUCAGUUUUGCCAUUGGGGUUUUCGGUGCCUGCGAGCCAGCGGGGAAGUGGAUUCGGGCGGGCGAGCGAAGAAGCUUCUCCUCGUGUGGCCGAGCAGUGAGCAGGGGGAUAUGGUACGCGCAAGCUACCAAGAAAGAUAGCGCAGGUGGGCGAGCAGUGAGCGGGGGGAAAUGGUGUGCGGCCGACGAUGGGGAAGAGAAGAGGAAGAAGAAGAGAGGAGGAAGAAGAGUGAAAGACGGGGAAGAGAGUGCAUUAAAUCUCAAUUCUACUACUACUACUACGAGGAUAUACCGUCCUUCGGAGUGUAAAUAGUUACACCGAUGACAUGUGGGCCCACCACAAGAGGGCCCAUAUGUCAGUUAAUGGAGGACACAAGCGUGCUCUACUGGCAAACAUGAUGGAAGUACUGGGUAAGGCUGAUUUAGUAACACCAACACGCUGGUUCAGCUUAUUAAUUAAGUGUCCCAUCUGUUGCAGCGUGUAUUAUCACUUCACUGCGAAGACUAGUUGAAUAGUUCUCUCUGACCGAGACGGGGAAUAAUGGAUCACGAAGACUUCCUUUCUACAUUAUCCCUAUGCCUCUACACUCACUUCACUCAUUUUGCUCUGUACAUAGUCACUUGUUGAAAUCUCUAGAAAGAUAAAUACUCCAUAUUUGGAUACAGUGGGAGGAUUUUACUCCAUGUUUGGGAACAGAGGGAGGAUUUUACUCCGUAUUUGGGAACAGAGGGAGUAUCACCAUAUGGAGGGAACAGAUGAAGCUUGAAAUAUGAACAUGUCAAUGGGAGGGAGUGAGCCCCAUGCAUGCAUGCAUGCAACAUGCAACACUCACACGUACACAUGGACAUACGUAACACUAACGCACCCAUGCGGCACACAGCACACGACGCAACACACAUGCUCACGCUCAAGUUCUCAACCUACUCCCUACGUCCGUGAAAUACUGUACAUUUAGAGAUUUACACAUUGACCAGAGCAGAAUUAACGACCAAAAGUAGCAAACUUAUGUGUGCAUGCGUCCAUUGAGAGAAGAAGAUUAAAUGAAAGUCGUUGCAUGCUGUAAUUAAGGAUAGACAUGUAGCCUAUACCUAGAGCACAAGUUGGUGCAUUAGUCAAUCAAUAUGGAUUUAGAUUAAAGGCUAAAUGCAUUGGAAGUGUAGAUGUACCACACUCUUUGUUUUUUAGCCGAUGUACACUCUUUGUUGGAAGACCGAGGGAGUACAUGUGCAUGAGCUCACAUACACAACCAAGGUGGUUCGCGCGCAAGGGUUGGAUACCUGUCGCGCCUGCUUAAAGUUUUGUUUAACUAAUUUCUUUGCUCGGCCAACUGAAAGGUGGGACCCAGAAACCAGGUGACAAUUUAACUAGUCAACAAAGUGCCACAUCGACUAUGUGGCCGGUCAGUAGGGUGCAAUACGGUGCUCUACGAUGAGCUAGUGAUCAUAUAAUCACUGCAAAACUAUAUAUAGUGACCGUAAAGAGCGUAUUGUUACAUAUGUUGACCGCCAGUGUAUUCUUCUUGUUUGAAAUUAAGCCAUAUUAACCGGAAAGGACGCAAUAUGGACUAGUACUAGUACUGCUUUGAUGUGUCCCGUCAACUCGCCGAACAAGGAGAAGCUUGCUUACUACACCUCUCCCUCGCCCACGCAUGCGGUGGUUCGCAGGACGAUGAGAGCGUUUUGACUACAGCGCCCUCUCCCUCUCCCUCUCCUUCACCCUCGCCCUCGUGGUGGACGUGCAACAGUUCAAUUGGUGUCAGAUUGCCAGAAGCAUAUUGUACUCUAGUAUGAUCAUUGUUGGACCUUUCGAAGAGGCGAAGAGCCAAGUGCAAAGUUCACACGAGUACGAACUGUUGAACCUUCCGAAGAGGCAAAGAGCCAAGCGCAAGGUUUUAUAGGAGUUUUCGUCCUUGUAGGAGUGUACUACAACUAUAGCGAACGAUACUACUGUAUGAUGCCGCCACGUCACAUAUAUCCAAAGUUGUGCCACCUUUUUUCUCAAAGAGCGUGUUGGAGCCCGUGCAACAACCACACAAGUUACAUGUACACAUAACACAUUUACUAGUAAUAAAUUCUAAAGGAAAAAUGUCAGUAUGCCACACAAGUUCAUCUCCAAUUCAUGUGAUAAAUUUGUGCAUGACUAGUCUACAUAUAUUCACAGCGCUACCGUGCACAAUUUACUGUACUCCACUUACACAUUAUAGAUGGGCUACAUGCCCUCCUCCAGGUUCCAAUCCCAGGUGUUCUUCAUGGAUGGCAUGAUCCAUAGCGGUGGGCAACGGGAAUCAUUGUCACAACUUUCUGGUCCGGUUCCACAUGAUGGAGACUCAUCCAAGCUGAAGCGGCAUAAAUCAGGGAUAGCGUGUCCCAGCAUGUCGUUCAUCCAGUGGUGCGCACUGAAAACACAACCAUGCUUCAUGAAUGGCAGGCCUUCCGUGUCGUGCACGGAAGGUGGCAUCUGCUUCACAAUGGGGUAGCUGUCCCCAAUGAAAAGCGAGUACUCUCCAAGAGUUUUCCUCGGCACCUAUGUAGCAUCACGGGGGUCAAACUCGGCGCCGUUCAUCUGGUACACGCGGCAUCUCAGAUCUGGACACAUGGUGACGUACAUAGUCAAGGUCCAUGCAUAAUAAUGUUGUGCUCAAAUAUGGCGGUCAUUAAUACUAUGCAAUAAAUAGCACUACUCCGGUAUAGAGGAAGUAAAAUAACCGGCUUAUUAUAUAUAGCCACUCUUGGCUACAUGGAUGAGAUAGUAAGACAUGGAAAAACAAAAAUGGUGGCAGCUAGUGGGUUCAAGUUUUCAAGGGCCUAGCUAGUUAUACACAUCCUCCAAGGUAAAAAGUACUCCCACUAGUACGUAAGUAGAGUACUAGUACAGCAAUGAAAGACAAGGCGAGAGGGUUAAAAAAUGGAAUAUCUGGGUAGAUGGUGACGGUCCGAUCAUGGUAGAUUGUGUGACCAUGUUGCACAUGAGUGGUACCAUGGGUAGCGAUUGCUAAGAUAGUUGAUCCCAAUAUGACAAAGUCAGCUACAAGGUUCUAGGUUAGACCGAAUCGCGGAUGCAAAUGCACAUCCAGGAUCAGCGAUCUUAUUUUGAUCGCGGGAUGAUUGGUCCCUGCAAAAUAAUGGAGUACCGUUAGGGAUGCAAAUAAUGGUUUGUGCAUUCCGUUUGUAAUCUCCCAUACUAUAGGAUGGCAACCAGAUGAAUCAAGUCCCCAGGCUUGUCACCACGAAGAUGCGACCUAGAUGGCGCACGACGUCUUCGAACGUGUAGGGGUACAAAUCUGCCGCCGCCAACAUGCGCCAGCCUCUGCCGUUACUGCCUCUUGCAUUGAUGGCAAUCCUUAGGUCGAACACCACGAUGAGAUAGUAAUCGUUGUAGCCGCAUCGCUUUGUCAGCGGGUCCGCAAUUGCUAUCUUCUUUAAUCUCAUGUAGGCAUCAUCAUAUGUAUUCAAGCCCAGCCAGUCCGAAAGGUCGAUCCCAAUGGUGGAGAAGGGGUCUACCGGAACGGUCGCACUGUUGUGGAUGUUGUGCAAAAUGAUGGUGGUAUCCGGCCAGAGCUAUGCAAGCCAAUCUUCGUUGGCACCAACCCAGACCUAUAUAUAAGACGGUGGGCAGCGGAGAAAUUAUGGGAUGGAAAUGGAAUAACUAAGUACUACAUGAUCAAACUCCAUUACUGACCUGCUCAUCGGACAAAAUCCGACUACCUCUCAAUGUCGGCAACUCUAGUGGAGUGAACGUGCAACCAUGGCCAAGGAGCGGUGGACUAUUUGAAGGAUUGUCCCAUAGAAGAACCUUCUCCUCGAGGACGCAUGGAAGACCAACAAGCAUGCCCUUUUCCCAAGCCUUUUUAAGCACCGUCUUGAAAAAGUUGGUGCAGGAAGCACCGAGUCUUGCGGCGGUGAGGAUGUCGGAGCGGCGUGCGAUUUCUCUCUGAGGAUCGUCGUCCAAGGUCUCCCAGCCCCGACGAGAAGGAGAACCGCCUAGCGAAUCCAUGGGAGUAACGACGAACUACCUUCUCUUCGGAGGGAGGGGAACUGGCGAGGAGGAGAUAAGAGCGUAGUAACCGCAGGGCCUCGUCCCUUCCAACUGUAGAUCGUUCCUUAGCGAAGGGGUGAGGCUAUUAUUUACUACUACUACUAGCAUUAUGGGAUGUUAUGGGAUUACAUUAUUUAAAACAAUAAUAAGGCUGGGCAACUCGCUCCUAGGGCGCUCCCCCGAUUUCUUCCUUUGAUAGCCGUUCCAUCCUGGUCAACGCAGUCAUUUUCUCGUUCCUGACCGUUUGAUCUUAGCUAGGAAUUGACCUCUGCGUUUUAACCCGCGGUAGAUCCUGGGCGGGGAAUGACCUUUGGGGCUCGCGCUCGGUUUGAUUGGCUGGAUGUCGGUUUCUUCGGUGCGCGGGGCAGCCUCUCCUGUCGCGCCGCGUGUGCGCGAAGGCCGCGUCAUGGGCGCUGCGUGGGUUAUGCGCUGCUCGGCCGACACAUAUAUACCUGGUUUUUGCGCCCGCACCUGCGCUGGACUGAUGACGGGUGGACCUGUACUGCUGCUGGCCCCGCUCAUCGGUUGAACUGGAUGCACGUCCCACAGUGUUUCUCUCGGGUCAAACGUGCCUGGGGCUGCCGCUCGCACGCACGCUGCUUGCCUCGUCCGCUGUGCCCACGUCGUGCGUUAUGGGAGCAGCUCUACGCAGGGCUCGGCCGGUGCAUGUGUACCUGGCUUAUGCACCAGCAUCUCUUCUAUUGCGAUGACAGGUGGGCCGGUCCUGCUGCUGGUCCCGCUCGUCAACUGCACGGACUUCGUCAUGUUGGUUGGUUGUGCGGACUGCGCCGGGUUGGCUGGGGCAUGUUCGCGUGGACCCCUGGCUGACCGAUGCAUCGUGUGCGCGUCCUGCGUGCCUCACCUCCGUCUGCGGUUGGAGAGAGGAGAUGGACUGGCAAAAUAUCUCGCGAGCCCACUUCCCGCAUCUCUAUCGCCCUAGCCGCCUCCACGCUCGUGCAUCCUCCCGCGUCAAUCGUGCCCAAACCUCCUCAUCUCGUAUCCCGUGGGACCGAGGUGCGGGCAUGGAGGCGAGCUUCCCUGGCGGCGGCGGCGGCCUGCAGGCAAAGGGUGACGGCGGCGGCGGCGCUGGAUUAGAUCUGCGGGAGAGAGAGAGGAUGAGAGGGGGAGAUAAGGAAGAAGAUGAGAGGGAGAGAGAGAGAGAGAGAGAGAGAGAGAGAGAGAGAGAGAGGAAAGGGGAGAGGGAGGGCUUCUACGUCGCCGCUCUCUGGAUGCACGCCAUCCACCCGCGCACGCUCGCCGCCAACCUCGCCGGCUUCGCCAGGUUCGGCUGCCUCAAGAACCUCCCCGAGAUCCUCUAUCGUUUCCUCCACGGCCCCCGCGAUGAGCGCAAGGACUAGGACGACGUCGCUGCGGCGGCUCCGGGUGCAAGAGAGGCAAGCGACGCUGCGUCGGCGGCCUUGCCGCCGCCGCGGCUGAGGCCGCCAAGGCCCGGCGCGAGAAGGAGGCGGAGCACGCGCAGGCCGUGCUCGCGCACAACGACUCUGACGAGGCCUUCUGCAACCUCUACGACGGCGUCGCCGACAUCUUCGCCGGGCUACUCAAGUCGGACCAGGAGCACCUGCACGCGGGCGACACGGAUCGUGUUCACCGCCAAGUGGUGCCCGUCGCUGCGCCUGUCGUACGACUGCGCGACGCUGCUCUGCGAGGCCAUCGCGCGCUGAGUCUUCCCGCGCGACUCGAGCCCCGAGUACCUCGCUAUCCCCGACAAUCAGUACGCCUACCGCGUCCGCAACCGGCUCCACCGCGAGGUGCAGGUGCCGCUCCGCAAGGUGCUCGAGCUCCCCGAGGUCUACAUGAGCGCCGGAAGUGGGACGAGCUGCCCUGCGCGCGCUUGGCGUCCACGGCCAUCCGCCGGUACAAGUGGCGUCCUGGCUGUUCUUCUUUCUUCUGGUAAUGCACUGCUCCUUAGCUUCUUUCUUUGCAUUUCUUAUGAGUUUUGUGUAUGCUGCUGCCUCUACAAGUGAUGGUAUGUGCUUUCUUUUGCUUGGUAUAGUUUUGGUGUGUGUGUUUUCUAGCGCUAGGCCUACUUUUGUCUCUGGUUUAGGUGUCUGCAUCAGGGCCGUCUCCAAAAAUUCUGGGGCCCGGUGCGAAAUGCGAAUGGGGGCCCUAAAUUUCUGGAAUACAGGUUGCUUCACGAAAAUACUAUAACAAAAAAACACUGAGCCUGAAUUUUAAAGUAGCAACAAUCUUGAAAAUCAUGGCGUAUGACAACUUGGUCAACUAACCUACUACAUAUCUUGAUGAACUGGUGCAUAUGCACACAAUAUACUCACUAAUAUAAUCAUUCAACGGAACAAAAUAAUCUAAAUUAAGUAGUGUUUCGGUUUGAGCACACCUGGUGGACAGAUCGGUGGUGCCCUCGCCUUGGUAUGGGCCACCGGCUGUUUCUAAUAGUGCAUUUUUAUUUUAGAAUACGCAAAACAUUAUGUUAAGAAUAGAAAAGAGUAUUUACAGGAUAGAGUUAUAGCGAAGAAAAACUAGAUGAAACUUGACAUUAAGCAACCCCUUGAAGAAACCUGUCAGAUUGGGUCACCCAAACGUCUAUUCAUCAUGACCGUUGUAGUAGCAGCAGAGAGGAACAAAGCCGUACAUUGAAUCCAAUUGUUCCCAAAACUGAAACGCUGCAUAAUUUCAAUGAGGAAUGGCUAGCCAACAGACUAAAAAACCACAAGCUAUAGUAAGUCAGAUCGUCAGAGAAGGCACCUUCCUGCGAUGCAGGCACAGACGACUUGCUGUUGCUGUACCAUAUGAACAUUCUUCAUGUGAGAAGGGAUAUAGGCUGCACCUCCGGGGAGGAAACAAAGCGAUCAAACUAGACAACGCCGCUAGCCUCCGCCACCGUGCGGCGGCGCCACACUUCGUUCGUCUCGGGAAGAUGGAUAUCGAUCGGCUGCAGGCUGCGUCAAUCCGGACUCAGAAAAGGUCAUACGGGAAAUUGAGGAGAAGGCCCAGUUUGGGAGAGCCAUGGGCCUGUAUUAGUUGUAAGAAUGGCCCAAAAUUAAGGAGACAUAGGCCUAGAAUCGGGGCCCCCUGGAAUUUGGGGGCCCUGUGCGGUCGCCCAGCCCGCACAGGCCCUUGGACGGCCCUGGUCUGCAUAUACCAUGGGUUGUGCGCUUGUGUGCUCAUGUUGAUGUUGGCAUGGUUUAUAUUGUCUAUUCUUUCUGCUUGAUUAGCUAACAAUCAGAUUGGUGUAGUGGAGCUAAAAAUACAUUUGGCUGGUUGUGUCUCUUAGUUUGGCAGAAAGCGCAGCAUGUCAAAUUGAUCGGUGUCCAUCUCCCUCAAUUUCUGCAUAUUUAUAUUUGAGAAGUGAACCAGGCUACUCAUCGAUUAAUAAAAGCUUUAUAGUUCUGUUCUCCUUCCAUUAUUUCUUCAGUAUUAUUAAUUUAUUCUCUUAGAUUAAAGGUAUUAUUGUAAUGAUGUCCUGUUGUUCUGUAAUGUAUUUUUGAUUUUUUUCUGUGAUUUUACUCAAUGGUGCUUACUCGUCGCAGAAAUGGAUGUAUCUAUAACUAAAAUACAUCUAGAUACAUCCAUUUAUGCGACGGGUAAUUCGGAACGGAGGGAGUACUAUUGAUGGACUUAUUUUAUGUAUAAGUUAACCAUCUCAAUCCUCAUCUAUUCAUUUCAAAAGUAAAUUGUGUUGUCUGAAGUUUGUGUGGGAACACUAUAUUACGAAUUUACUAUCAGUUUUUCACAGGUUCUUGAUUAUCUAUGGCCUUCCAUGCAGGGCUUCUCUCUGAUAAACAAAGGAGAUGAUAUUGCAAUGUGCUAACCAGGUAGCUUCCUUUAUGAUCUGCUUUGUCUUUUACCAUUCUUUGAUUUGAUGCAACUAAUUUGUGAAAAAAUAGGUAACAGGUAGGAGGGCAGUUUAGUUUUCCUGUAAGUAUGGAUUUGCAUUUGUGAAUUCAGUUCUCCAUGUCAUUCAUCAUGCAAGUAACUUGUUACUUACCACCUACCAGUAGUUCAGCUAGGCAUGCAUGAAGCACAUGAAAAACUGCAACGAUAUGUAUGAGCAGUUAUAUGUCAAUUUUUUUGUCCCAAGCUAUUGAAAAAGUUUUCAUUUUGUAAUGCGAAGUGCUUUGUUUUCUGCAGAUUAUUGCUGCACAUUUGUCUGUUUGAUGUCUUGGUUGUGGGAUCUGAAACACUAUGUAUUCAGAUCAACAUUACACAGGCAAGGAGCGAGAUGAUGGUUAGGAUUGUUAACUUUCAGUCAACUUUAGCACUAAAUAUAUAUACUAUUUCUUCUGCACCCAGCCGGAUAAUUUAGCUGAUAAUUUUUCCUUCUACAGCCAAGCAGUGGAAGAGAAUGGUAACUAAAGACAACUUUGUUGGUCCUUGAUCAUGGAUUUACAAGAAAGCCAACAGAGUAUGAAAAGGUUCUCAUGGGACUCACCCUGAACUGAAAUCUAUGUUCAACCUUGGUAUAAUUCUAUGACAAAAACCCCAGGUGGUCCAAUUUUUUUUUCUUUCUUUCAUGUUUAUUGUUUUUGGUUUGUUAUAACCGAAUUUAUAGCCUACUAUUCGUGGGUUUCUUUUAUUCUGUUUUGGUGGGUUCUAAGCUAUGAAAUUAGGAACCAUAUAGUUUAUUAGUUUGAGACCUGCUUCAAGAUAAAGAAUGAAAUGAAGAAUUAUUAUUUCAUGAUGACACACAUGACUGUCAAACUGCAGAAAAUACUUGAUUUAUGUACUGUAUGAUUUCUGAGUUCCUUUCCUUUCUAGAUUUAUGUGGGGAGAACUCAUGAGCUUAUGAAUGAGUGAUUCGGAUUUGUCUAAUUGGGAACUAGCAAAUCAUGCAAAGUAAGGGUUUUUCUGCUCAUAUAGACUGGUUGGUCGAUGGCUUCUUGAUACAUCGUACCUUAAACAACAUAAUUUCUGAUUGAGGGGACCAGGUUGAUGCCCUGUUUGAUGUGAAUUUUCUGGGAUGUGCUGCCAUAUACUUCCACCACUGUAUACAACAAUGAGUACAACAUUUAACAUGGGCAUGAUGUUAAAUUUGAGUGAAUCUAAGGGCCUACUGGCUGCAUAAUCUGUGGCUAUAUUUUUUAGACUUAUUUAUUUACUUUUGUGUAUGCAAGGAGCAAUUCUACUAUCUCUUCAUGGUUUAGCGUUUAUAUAUUAGUUGGAUAGUAUCUCUUUAUUCUGUUGUUGUGACUGACUAGCUGCUUACUUAUAUGGACAACUUGAACUGAAAGCAAGAGUAGAAGCCCAUGAGAUGAGACACAAGGAAAAUAUGCAUGGUAUUUUUCAAUUCUAAUGUUUCAGUUCCACUCACCUACUUGACUGGCUACGUGAUGUAUAUACUGAUUUCCUGCUACUGUUUGAGUUAUAACAGUUUUGCUCAUCUGGCAGAAAAUGGCACAUUCAUGAUUCAGUUUGGUUAGCAAGUGCCUAAAUACCCUGGAAAUGUGUUUGAAUCGCACAAAAAAAGUUUGUAGUUCUUAUUCAUACUUGAAACAUGUGAGGCUCUGCAAAUUAAACCAUGUUUUUUUUCAAGGCGCAUAUGGAUUUAGUAGACCACAACUAAACACAUUGUAUAUAUAUGGCCUGUCCUUAGUAAAGGAAACUAUUUUCGUCGCGAGCAUGGCUUUAGUUGAAGGUUCUUACAACAUGAAACUAUUUUCAUCGAGAACAUGUCUUCAGCAGGUCUCUGCGCCAUUUCGCGCAACGGGUCAACUAGUAUUGUAAAUAAUAGCACUAGUAAGAAAUUUUUGGCACUAGCUAGCAGUUUUUGGCAUGGAUUAAGAAAUUUUGGGCAUGUUUUUGCUAUUUUUUGUACACGCCAACUAGUGUCAAAAAACGUCUUACAUUAUGUGACGGAGGAGUAUGUACUCGUACUGUAGCAGUACUAGUACUACUUUCUCAACUAGUAGUGCGAUGUACUGUAUUUCUAGCAUAGUGUACCAGUUUUGAACUCUUAAAUCUCAGGGACAAGGAGCUACAGUUGGAAGUGGAGGGUACUAUUGUUCUUUAUAACCAUCGUUGUACUAUCAAUGCAGGGAAAGUACACCUAUGUAGUGGCCUAGUGGGUAUUCUCGGUACUCUAUUCAGCCCCUCCUCUCACGCACACACUAGCAGCCUGUUUAUCAGCGACGGUUACUGCGGGGGCAGAACAUUUGAGUUAUUGGAUAAAGCGAGACUAGGCUUUUUGCUUCCAUUUGUGGAGGUGUAAUGGAUCUCGUCGAACUUUGUUAGCAGUUCCUUCUUUAUGAAUGAGAUGAAGCAAAGCUUUUGCCUUCGUUUAAAAAAAACACGUCAAGAGGAAUUUCUUUUAUAGUAGAGCCAAUAAUGGAGUGAAGUCCAUGCAUGCAACGCCACAAGCUAUAGAGUAGUAGUAGAGCACUUUACGUACAGAGCCAUAUUGCACAGUUCCCAAUGCCCCGCCAGGCUUUUCCGGCUCCUCAGGCUUAAUUGGGAGGCGCUGGUUUAAAUAUGCUACUAGCUGAUGAGGAAGCUGCAAGUAAGGUGCGGCAAGGGCGAACAUGUGAGCCACGAGAUGCUGGGAAGGAACACCCGUUCACGUGGCUAGGCUAUCCAGUGCACCCAGAUUGUGGUGCCGCACGUCUGUUUGACUUCAAAACUCAAACUAUCCGUGUAAAAUAUUGGCUCGCAGCGAAGUUACUUUUUAAAGAAAUGGCCACCGAGUGUUCGGCCGGGAUCGAACCCACAAAAUGAGGUAUACAUUCCCGCGACCACUAAUAAUACUCGUUGUAGUACAAUGCAACUUAGAAUCGCCUUUUGUCGCUAGUAGUACAUUGUUCUUUACAAAACCCCUAAUAAUGCCAAAAAACAACUACCACUUGCAUACGUGGCAGACUUAAGAUAAAACUACCUUAUCAAUCAUUGUACAUGCUCUUACCAACCAACCCUAUCAAGAAACGACUACUCUACAAAGUGUCGUUAUAGGUACGUUUCAACCCAUGGCCCUGUUUGGAUACAUUUAUUUUCAAUCUAACCCUGCCAUCCAAACACCGCUUUGGUUAAAGUUAGUUCAGGGUUAGAAUCUAACUCUAAUCUCUGACUUAGAGUAUCCAAACAGGGCCCAUGUCGCCCAUUAAGUCAGCGCCUUCUAUUCGACCGGGCGUUAUGACUUGUGGGACCUACAUGUCAGUCUACACAAAAAACCCCGAGUGACCUCCUACCUCCGGCCCGUCCACCUAGUCAUCCUCAACCAUGGGACAUAGCUGCUGCCGCCGACAGAAGGCGAGGUCAAAACCGCCGGCGAGGCGGAGCCCAUCUUGCGGCAGCCCGGAUGCCAGCUCCGUCUGGUGCUCGCGGCCGCUAGCUAGCCAAGAUAGCUCCGUACAGCUGCUUGUCUGCAAGGUUUGCUAGCUAGAUUGGCACGAUGGCACGACAGCUUGCUCGCGCUCGCCACGCUAAGGCCAGCCAUCUGGCUCGAGCGAAGGCCAGCGCGGUGGCCUUUAUCGCUUGUGAGUCACGCUUGGGCCAGCCUGCCAACCCGUGCGGAGGCUAGCGCGGCAUCCAGCCUGUCCGACGGAGCAGCGGCCAACUCGCUCAUCACCGGCGCCACCGACGAACAUGCAUCAAUACUGUUUGAAGUAAUGUUCAGGAAAAAUUAUGAUUUGAGGGGGAAUAAAAGGAUAGAAGGUCAGAUGUGGGUCCCUCGUGUCAAUGGUCAAACAAAAUCUGUUGGUUUAAGCUGCAUCGUUAACACGGACGUGUGGGCCAACCCUGUCAUAAAUAGGUUUAAACUAACCUAAUCGGUACUCCCUUUGUCCCAUAAUAUAAGAUGUGUUUGCAAGCUAAACUAGCUUGCAAAAAGUCUUACAUUGUGGGACGGAGGGAGUACUAGGUAGUAGUUUUUGGCGUGGAUUAAGAAAUUUUGGGUACGUUUUUGCUAUUUUUUGUAUAAUAGAUUCUUCCUUGGGCUGGCUGAAAGUGGUAUUUUUUUGUUAAAUACUCUACAUAUUGUAAGUAGGAGUGAAAGUUAAGCUUUGGAACCCAAUAAGCAAGGCUAGUUACAUGGUGCAUAUGUGUACAUGAUUGAAAGUAAAUAUCAACAAUGAGUGACUAAUAUCUUGAUGGAAAACUCGAAACUAUGGAAUACUAGGAAAAAAUUGUAUGGUUGGAAAUACUAGCAAUGUUCAUGUGUGUUGCAACGAAUCAUAAUUAGAAUAAUACUUAUUGACAAACUUGAUGCAAAACAUUCUAAUUUUGAUAUACAUAUAUCACUAGAGAUAUAUUAUGUUUCAAUUAGAAUAUAUUCCUUGGCCUGUUUUGGUGAGGUCAGGGAGGGAUGUGGUUGGUUUUAAGAUACUAAUUAUGGGUUUUUCUGCAAAUUGGUAGACAAGUGGGAUGUUGGUGAGAAAAGGCAACAACUUACCUCACAGUCGUUAGAUGUAAAUCUAAUGGUCACAAACGACGGAUGGUAGACACACCAUCAUCACCAACUUAGUCUUCUAUAAGAGUACUAGCAAGAUUCGUGCAUUGCACGGAACAUCAAAAUGCUUUUUUUAUAAAACAGUUGUUGUGAUUGACCCAUGCGGGAGUAAUCCUACGUGUAAAAAUUAAUGAUAUCUCGAGAAAUAGUUGAUAAGGUGAAGAGGAGUGGGGCGUGGUGGUGAUUGGUGGUCGGACUGAGCGGAGGCAUGGGGAUUGACGACGCCGGCAGCGGCCACCAGGCCAAUUUGUUCCAGAGGCUUCCUUUCUUAAUUGCUCAACAAUGAGGUUGUUGGAGAUAAGGAUGAACGAGGGAAGGCCUUGUCUGCAAAUGUGGAGAAGGGUGCGGGUAUCUUUUAGUUUAAUUUCCAUCCGUCGGAUAUAGAUCGGACGGUCUAUAUUGCAAGAUGGCACGCGUACCAUCAUCACCAACUCGGUUUUUUAUAAGAGAAGAAAUAUAAGUAUGGAGAUACAAACGUAUUAUCGAUACUUGUUUCCGUAAACUAGCAUCUACAUUCUAUUCAACGCCACAUCAUGUGAGGCCUUAGCACAAUGACUUCUCGACUAUGUAAAACAAAGGUUUUCCCGUCGCCGAUAAGGAGGGGGUGAUGGUGGCGUGCUUUUUGGCUUGCUCUAGUCCUAGAGUCAUACUAGGUGGUCUAAGCACGUGUAGAUUCAUCCCUUUUUAGGUCUCGUGUUCGCCGUACUGCCAUGACUGUUGAUGAAUAGACCGUAAGUUAUUCACGGGGAAACCCUUGUUGAGCGUGUUUGCGAGAGAGAGAGAGAGAAAGUGCGUGUGUGAUAUGUCUAGAGACUGAGGCAAUGAUAAAAGAUUCUUCGUGUCUAUGUGUGUGGAGGAUAGAGAGAGACAUGUACAUGGGGCUUUGUGUUGUGUAACGUGGAGACACAUAUACAUAAUUAGAGAGUGAGUGUGUGAGAUACACAUGCAGACAUGGGGAGAGAUGAGGAUCCAGAUUAAUGGGUGUUUGUGCAUGUCGGUGUGUGUUUGUGCGCAUGUUUGUGUGUGAGAGGGAGUGUGUGUAUGUGGAGUACAGAGACCACUAAUGAUGUCGACCUAGUAUAAGGGAAGGGGGAAUGGUGUGACAUGUGUAGUCGUGGGAUAGCAUGGGUGCGGACGGAGGGAGCAGACUAUUUGGAAGAAACAUCGAGUGUGUGUGGGAGAGGGGUGUGAGAGCGAGCGAGCAAGAGAUAGAGAGAGAGAAGAGAGAGCUAGCGACGAAGAGAGAGAGAGGGAGGGAGGGAGGGAGAGAGAGAGAGGAAGAGAGGGGCUAGAGAGGGGGCGUUUGUGUCCAUAAAUGACGUAUAGAUAGGGAGACAAUGUUGAUGUUGUUUGAAAUUGGCCUAUGUAUGGAGACACAAGGGAAGCGAGUCAUCAUAUAUGUGAUAGGGACUUUAUGAGAGAUCUAAAAUAGAUGGUGUAGAGAACAAUGUGCGAGAUCGGGAACGAUGAUACAUUAAGGAGCUAUGGAAAGAGUCACGACAUAUAUGUAUACAUGGAGGAGCCGGGGCGGGUCCGCAUGUGGGAUAGAUAGAAAGAGGAGAGUGGUGCCCAAGAAGACAAAGUGUGCUUGUUUGCAGUGGGGGUGGUGUGUGAGGUGAGUGUGCGAGAACCACAUAACUAGGGAGAUAGACGUUUGGGGGUGACGUUUUGUGUGUAUGAGAAAGAUACACUCUACAUAGUGCGUGUGCUUGGAAAAGAGAGAUGCCGGGAGACCUAGCUAGAGAGUGGGGGAAGAGAUGUGUGCAUACCCAAGAGACAAAGUGAUAGAGACCUAUAUUGGGGUCCGGACUUUUUAAGAGAGAGGGGUGUUAAUGUGCUAGUGUGUUGGUGUUUGGGGGAGAGAAUGACAUCUCUAUGUGGGGGGCGACGAGAGGGGGGGUUGGCUUCAGAUAAAGUGUGAGGUGUCUAUAUUUGAGGGAUUUUAGCGUAAUUGAGAUAUACAUGGUCAAUAGUGUGUGCAUUCAUGGUUGAUCAAUUUGUUUCACUGUUUGAACUAUGAGAUAACGAUACUUUUGAACAUGCGUGAUAUACCUUGAUGUAUCAGAAUUACAAAGCUAAAAUUGGAAUUUUGGAAUUCGACUCCAUCAUUAGCUUUUGUAGUUCAAUUAAACGGAGGUACAUUUUCUAAGCCGGGAUUUCGUGAUUUCAAAUUCAUAUAUAAAACCUAGAGAUAUACACAUACAGGCAUGUUCAAACUUUAUAAUCAUCCACUUUAUUCAUACACAUACACAUUUUUGCUUUUGUCAUCAUAUUUAGGAUAAACACAUUUGAAAUUUCAUUUGAAUUGGACCAUAUGAUGGUAUUUGCUUUUAGUAGCUCAAUCUAUACCUAUUAAUAAAGCAAGGUGCGUUUCUUCAAAAUUUUCAUCCGUUCAUUCAUAUUAUUAUUUUUUGAUUUUUUGAGAUUCAAUUCUUUUUAUAUCCGAGGUGGUACUAAAAAAUAUGUAUGUGCUGAAUUCUGUUCGUAGGCUUCCUUAUAGCUCUUCUUUUUCUGUGCAUCCCCUACAUGGGCCAAACUGGGCCGUUUCGGGGGCACCAAAACAUAGUAACCAGCUAGAAAAACAAGCGAUCAAGUGAGGUUCGAACUCACAACCUCCCGUGAAACAGAGGUGUCCCCAGCCAAACGAGCUACCUUGCCUGUUUUUGCUAUAGAUAGUCCCACCUUGGUUCUUUAUAUCAAGUUUCACCAAUUUAAAUACGCUUGUAAGUUGUCUAAAAUAUCAGCAAGCCAUGUUGAGAAUCAAUAAACAGACGGAAAGAAGAUGACGACUCGAUAGAAGGAGAAAACAUGCACCCAUAAUUAAGCCGGAUUGUGGGAAAUAAAGAGAGAGAGAUUUGAUGAGAGAAGAAUGCGGGCUCGUACUUUCCGUGGCUGUGGGAUUUUUAAUUUCUUUUUGUCUGCAAAUAAAGAGCAACGAAUUGAAACCGUUGGAUGCUUAACAUGUGGUGCGGAGCAUGGAUGCAUGGGAUCAAAAGGACGGGUGAAGGCAAGCCUGGUCCAUGUCCUUGGGUGAUUAAGUGGAAACUUUUUCCGGGUAAUUAAGUGGAAAUUUAAAUACAAGGAUUUGAUGAGGCACACACGGAAGCAUCAAGCUCGCUCUGGACGACGGUAAUAAGGAGAAAAUCGUAUAGCAGUGUUAGAAAAACGAAAAUAGCAUUUGGCGCAUUAUAAAAAAUUGAAAAUACAUGAAUGUUUAUGUGCAAACAAAUUACAUUUUUUUUAAAUAACCUGAUUGAUCGAACGUUCAAUGGUGCAAAACGGAAUACACGACACUCCAAGAACGAAGAUACAUGAAUGUUUUUUGUGCGACCAAAUUACAUAUUUUUUCAAAAAACUGCCUGAUUGAUCAAGCGCCGUUGUUGUAACCCGAAUUCAAGACCCUGCAAAUGUUGCUGCAAGCGGGAUGCAACACUCCAAGACCGAAUGUCCUAUGCAUCUAGUGGAAGCAUGCCAAUCCAACGUCAGUUGCCACUAUCUUCUUUUACUGGAAAAGCCGGACUGCUGUGUUGCAAAGCCGACUAUGCAUUCGCUACAAGGACGGUCGGUAGUAUUUCAAGUCAGAAGGAUGAUGUUGCAAAGCCUACCACAUGAAUGCUGCAAGGAUGACCGACAUUGACCCAAAGUCGACCGCAUGUCCUUGUGAGGUCAAUUAGUGUUGCUGCAAAUGCUAUGUGUAUAUAAAGCUAAUUAAGUGCAGGUUUCAAUAUUUUGGAGAAGUUUCCUUACCAUCGGAGUUAGUAAGGAUCAUUUUGUGAUUAAGAAGCAGUUGAUACACAUUUUGUCUACACCUCGGCGUGAGCCUCCCUGUCAUGGCACAAUCUGAUGCUAUCAUACCACGCCGGUGACUGUUUUGAUGAACCCGCCAAUUUCUCCCCCGUUGCAACGCACGGACCUUUUGCUAGUGAUCCAUACAAGUUCAAAACUUGCACUUUUUUUGCGUGCAAAACAAACAAGUUCUCGGCCAUGAUAUCAUAGUCGGCCAUACAAGAGAAGAAUAUAAUUUCAGGCGCCAAAAGCUUUCAAACUUCCCGCUCACAUCGAAAUAUCUUGCGCCCGAAAGUUUAGCCCUGCGAUAUUCCUGUUUUACCCCUGCCACAUGAACGGAAAAGGGCUGCUUUGGUAACUCCAUUGUUUUCCCCUCUUUGCCCCCAACAUUCUUCCCCAGAGACCCUCCCCUUCCACUCCCCGACCCCCCCAACCACGGCAAACCGCCGAAUCUAGUCCUCUGUCGCAGCGGUGGACCUCACACCCUGACGGAUUUACCUUCCGCACCUUGGAACCCCCAACUGCCAACUCACCACUUCACCGGAGCUGCUUCAGCGACUGGCUUGUCCAUCGCUCCAGAUAUCCUUGACCGCCAUCAUGGUCCACCGCACCGGAUCUGCAUAACCGGCACCCUCGUCCACCACAGUGUAGGCCCUUCACUGACUCCCUCGUCCGUCCCUUCGCCGGCCCUUCAUACAAGCCCUUGUCUGCCACAAUAGAUCCGCCUCACCAAAAGCACUGUACAACGUGCCCGCCGAAGCCUUCAUCCACUUCACCGGACCCGCUCCAUGGACGCCAUAUUCAACUCCAUCGGCCCUGCUUUACCGACGCUGCAGCCUCAUCAGGUUAUUUUGAUUUGUACUCCUUCGGUUUUCUCUUUAUCAUGUAACUAUUCACUUACCACAAAUGAGCUUUCUUGUAUGUCAACAGGCGCCGCAACCGUAGCACCGGAGCCGCUUCAGCAACGGCGAUAGCCGACCCAAACUCAACUGCAACACGAGCACCAUCGACAAUCCUUAGCUAUCAAGUAUGCUAACGAUACCCAUACGCCGCCGAGAAUCAGGUACUAUUAUCCAACGGCCGGUGCCUACGUUCACUUUCUUAGCAUAAGCACCGCACCUUUGAAUUUCUUCAGGGCAUCAUUCAGUUUUUCAUGAGACGCGUUAUUCUGCUUGCACCUGUAGGGCCAUACUUCUGGCAGUGAACAUGUUACACGUGCUAAAUUACAUACCAGUGCACAUAUAGUUAAUAUGCUUUAGUUUUGUCCUAAGUAUUACCGUACUUCCUAGAUAUCACUGCGUACUAUUUUACUGCUUGCAUGCUAUAUUUAUGAUAAUGGUGUUGUUCUGAUGCCACCUGUUGGUUUCAUCAGACUGCUUCAUGUUCUCUAUGCUUAAUUACACAUCAGCAAACUAGCAUGUGGUUCCGCUAGUUUUUGUUCGUUUUACCCUACAUUUUCUGAUGCUAGCUAUUACAUCACUGCUCCGAGCCUCUGUUCAUUACUUUUUUGUGUGUUCUUGAUCUUCCCAAGUUACAUGACUAAUUUGAUGCUUCUAUUAAUUAUGGAGCUGCCAACCCCAUCAAGCAAAAUAUUUGUUCUUUUGGGGUUGGCACCUCGAACAAGCAUAAAAAUAGAGGGAAGCAGAUAUAUUGUCGUGUAUGCAGACACCCUUAUUUCAUUAGUUUAGAUGAACCAUUGAUGAUCAAUUCGAACCAGUGCAUGUGAUUAAAAUUAAUUUUACCUAAAUAGAGGUUGCAGAAUAAACUACAACAAGUAGAUUUGCAACCACGGGAUGCUGACGAUAUCUUCAAAGAACAUUGCAAUAGCAGCAAGGCUUCACAGCAACAUAUGGUAAGCCAGUGUGUUUUAGUACAUGUGAAAUGUAAUGCGUGUGGGCUGCUUUCUUGGCUUGUGCCCUCAACCUGUAAUCCUACAGAAUAACAAAUAGUUCAGUUGUCCGAUUUGCUGUAUUGCUUAAUUUGAAUGCUUGUUUGUUACUUGUUACGCUAUACCUGAGUUGGCCAAUAUGUCAGCAGUGCCUGUUGUACUAUUGCAAAGAAAUGCAUGCCUAGUUCAUUUGAGUCCUUAACUUUUCCUCUGAAGUUCAUCACAAGACUGUCUUCGUAGUUUAUAUGAGGCCACACUGUUAAGUGCUUUCUCAGAUUAUUUCAAUUGCUUAGAUGCCUUGGCAACUUAAAUAUAGCGGUGGUACACUCCCUUUCAACUAGGGAUGCAACUGGAUCCCGUUUAAUCCUGAUUAAAGUCCACUAGUGGUAUUAUAGUUCAAAAGAGUUUUGUUUUUUGAGGAAAAUGAACCAGGGAGCUAGCAAAAACUAACUGGAUGGGACUGGCGGAUGUCGUUUAUUUACCAUUUACAUCCCUAGUUUCACCUUACCAUUUUAAUUUCUUUUCGGCUGAUGUUGCUUCGAACCAUUUAAAUAUAGCUUACCAUGCUCGGCAAUAAUUCGUAUGUUGUUUACCAUGUAAGCUUACUGGAUAAUGCGAUAACUAUCUCUUACUUAUGUCCAGCAAAAACCUUUCAAGAUGCCGUUCACACUAGGACACAAUGUACAACCCCAUAAUCUAUUUGUGGAAGCAGUGCGCCAUCCAUGUUAACAGAUGGUAGCAGUUCAGAGGCAACACCGCCGGAGAGCAGUCUAAGCACAGAUAUUAUAGUUCUUGAGGCUCUACUAGAGGCAAAAAGAGAUGGCGUUGCUUCCAUGAAUGAGGUAAUCUCGAUCUUGAAGCUGGAAAUUAUGCAAUUAGCUGCACACAUUAUGCAAGCAACCCAAGAUUUGGAGGAAGUAAGAAUGUUGCAUUUGAAGACAGAGGAGGUCCUGCUGCUUCUGCUAUCUGAAGCCUAGGGUAAUCCCAGUUCUUUAGAUAGCAGUUGAAAUUGUCAUUAGAUUAUUGUACUUGCAUGUUGUGUCAUAUCUCUGAAUGGAUUAUGUUGUAAGACCGCCUAUGUUGUCCAUGUGUUGUAAUGAUCCGAAUUUUUUAGGCGAGGUAAUCUUCAGUACUUGUAUGAUUGACGUAAGGUGAAUUGUUUUUGGUGUGAGCAUAUUGUAUUGGAUGAAAUAACUGUUUGACUCAAAGUGUAUCCAACCUACUGAAUUCGAAGAUCAUAGUAUUUCUAAAUCAUAAUCAUAUAUAAAGGUAGAAUAAAUCUUUGUUGUGGUUUGGAAGAAAUAAAUAGCAAACUGUAGAUUUAUCUGUGGAUAUUUGUAAUCCAUUUGGAUUUAGUUGCCAGGGCCCAGGGCAAACAUGAAUGCUAAUUCUCCCAAGUUUUGAACGAAGCGGCUAAACACCCACUAUCAUUUGUGGGCUGCCCGAAGCAAGUGUUUGCGAGAUGGAAAUUACUGUCUACCCCUGACACUUGACAUCAUUAUCGACCGGAUUUACACCAUUGUCGAUAGGGGUAGACUAGUAACUUUAAUCAGGCAUGACACGACGGCAUCUGAGCCCAUUCAGACACGGUGGGCGCCAAAUGUGCGCGGCAAAACACAUUUGAUUCAAGCUCGUCCGAAAGACAUGUGUCUCUCCCUCCAUUUCCCCAUUCAUCCAUGAUGGGCGGCAAAACAAACUCUCCUCGUCCGAAAUCGAUGUAGGCUAAUAUUUUAAAUAGGGGCAGAUGUGUAACUUCCCUCGGACGUGACACAACUGCCCUACCUGUCAGCCCCGUCAUACACCACGGGGGCCAACCGUGGGCGGCAAAACACCCUCUGCUCACCCGAAAUCGUUACCGGCAAAUAUUUGGGAGAUGCGAGAUUACCGUCCUAUCCCCGACCGACGUGAUGUCCGAAAUUUUAAACGGGGGAUAAGUUCGUAACUUUCCCACAUUUCAGACAAGCGCGUCCCAAAGUUUGAGACCCCCUCCCCCUCCAUUUCCCCAUUCAUACACCGUCGGUGCCACAACAACCUCCCCACUGCGGCCAUCCUCCUCCGCCCGCCACCCCAUCCUCCACCUCGCCGGAGCCGCUACCCCUACCCCGUCGUCCACUGCAAGAGAUGAAUGUCUCUCAUCCACGGUGCCGGACCAUGAUCCUUUCAUCGCGUCGUCUCGCUUCAUCGGCGCCGUCGUCCACCUUGCCAUUGCCGCUCCUACAACCGCCUAGUCCACGGCAACAUGAUUUAUCCCCCACCCGGCCGUCUACCAUCUAAAGUCUUCUUCCCUGCCACAGACAGCCAUCGCACCCGCAACACCCUUAAUGUAUUAGCAGGGGCCUACAUGGUGUCGCAAGAGAGGUGGUACUCUUCCAUAUGUGCUUAAGUUAUUGAUCUCACCCGAAAAAUACAUCUUAAAUUGUUUACUGUACAUUUCUUGCCCGUACCAAAUCGUAGUGGCUAGUUGAAUGCAAACAUUGGUUGCGAAGUAGCUUUGUCCGGUUUGCACCUUUAGAUCCGCCAUGUCACGGUCACUAUACUCGUAAAGCUUAUGGUUUCCCCCUUUAUAUUCACUACCAUCAUCGUAGGUGCUUCACUGCUCCGUGUCGUGCUAGCACUGCUCCUCAAGACCUUAACCCAUCAAGCAAAACAACAUGCCACUCAUAAUUCCAAAGCUUACGUGUUGAAAUACGAAUCUGAUAUGAUGCUCAUAUUACUAAAAUAGAGAACGUUUAAUUGGUCACCUAAUGUUGCUACAUUCGUUUCGAAAAGCAUGUGCGCCACCCAUUGGUCCAGCUAGCUCCACUUUCCUGAUUUUACUCUUGAUGCCUAGGGGUUUCCCCUUUUAUCUACUCUACUAUGAUCUUCAUAGGUCCUUUCUAUCAUACUAGCAUUACUCCACCCUUCAAGUUAAACAACACAACACCCAAAAUUCCAAAGCUUAGUUGUUCAAAUAUGAUUGUGAUAUGAUACUGAUAUUAGUUAACAAACACAUUUAAUUGGUUAACUAGAGGUACCACUUGAGUUUCCAAAUGCAUGUCGCGACAUGUAGAGAGACAACAGAAUUGCAUUUCUUUGUCACUUGUUGACUGUACUUUCUUGUCCAUACCAAAUCUUAGUUGUUAUUUCAAAGCAAACAUCGGUUGCUAACUACCCUUUGCGCGGUUUGCAGCUUCAGAUCUGCCAUCCCACUGCAACGGUCAACACUAUACUCAUUAUGCUUACUGUUUCCCCAUUUUGUGAUGACCACGAUCAGCCUACGUGGUUCGUGUCGUAAUAGCACUGCUCCACCCAUCGAGCUAAACAAGCUUAGUUGUACAAAUUCAAAUAUGAUAUUAUGUUGAUAUUAGUAAAACUGAGAGAUGUUUAAUUGGUCAGCUAAAUGUUCAUACUUUCGUUUUGAAAUGCAUGUGAGCCACAUAUGGAGAGACCGGAAGGAAUAGUAUUUCUCUGUGCGCUCUGGUUCAUCAUGGGUGGUCAACCGACAUUGUAUAGAAAGACUUGUAAUAUCUUCAAUCUGCUUGCUCUUCUGCUCUUCUUUAAGAUGAUCCUCUUCUCUUGCGGUCGACUGGUCAGGUCGAGUUAUUCUCUCUUAGUAUAUUUUGAACCUGUCAGGCCAGGUCGACUUGUUCGUCUUUACUGUAUGUUGAAGCUGUCAUCUACGAAGUAUCAUCACUUCUGGAGCUCUCCAAUUUUGAGUAGUAGGCCACAUUAUAUUAAUGCACACACCAAAUUACAGCAUGCAUGGCACCUCUUAGAAGAAUUGCAGAGAUAGCACAAAGGGGUUUACAGGGAGGAAGUAUUGGAUUAGAAUCACUUCUACAUUACAAAGAUAAUGUCACUUGUUUUUAUGUUUUCAUGCAUGUCAGGUAUUGAACAUUAUCAAAAUGAAUAUGAUAAUGGGCGCACGAGAGGAAUAUUGCGGAACAAUCCACUAGCUAACAAACUUGGCAUGGUGGAGGAUGGCCUAUCUUAUUCACCCAUCAAGGUGCAUGCUCUAACUUGACAAGGUUGUAUUGGUCGCACAUAUUUUGCAUCUGACCUCUUGCAUUACUUCUACUUUGUUACACCAUCUGCUUAGUUUAAGCAUCAUAUUUGAGUAUAUGCCAUACCUAUCCAUUUUCUGUACCUAUUCCAUGUGUCGUCAUACUAUGUUUUUCGAGUCAAAUGUUGUUCUUUCGUAAUAGAUGUCCAAAAGGAAGAGGGUGAAUGCAGAUCCUCAAGGAGUACAAACUAGGUAUUUGGAAAAGGUAGUGAUACCUGUUAAAUCAGUUAGAUCAGCAGCCACAGAAAACACAGGCCCAACUAUACCAGACUUUACCCCUACUCCAGUGGCCAAAACCAUAUUAGAACUGCUGAGAGCCCAGCGUCAAGUACUGUCUAUGAUAUCAAUUCAAUAUUUGAACUCCUAAAUUUCUGCAUGUGCCUUACCUUCUCUCUUGUAUGAAAACUAAUUUCAGAUGAAUCUCCUUGCUCAAAGGAUCAUAGGAUCUCACGAGAAUACUGGGCUCUGCAUUGCUCUUGCCAGUACCUCUUGCCCUUUGUGAGCAUACUUACACUCAUUGUUGUUUGAUUAUGUAGUAUCACUGUAAAUGUUCGCUUCUUUAUCCUCCCUUUGCUUGAAAUUAUAAGAUCUAUAUUUACUCUUAGAUAAAUGUAGAAUUAACACAAUGGUUAUGAAGUUUUGGAUUGCUCAUGUAAGUACCUGUUGUCAUGUACUCCCUCUAUAUCGAAUUAAUUGUUGAUCAAUUGAAUGUAUUUAGAACUUAAUAGUGCUAGAUACAUCCAUUUGAGCGACAAGUAAUAACGGACGGUGGUGGUAUUACUGUACAUGCAUCGCGAGAUAGUUGAUUGUGUAGCAUUACUCUGCAUCUUAUCUGCCUUGCCCUCCACUUUCUCCAAAUUAUCAUAUCUACAUUUACUCUUACCAAAAUGUUGAAUAAAGCCAAUGCCACUGCACAUGUUGAUGUCUGCAUUCCUCUUGUCAGUACCUUUUGCCUUGUAACACUGUACUUAAUUAAUUGCUAUUUGAUUAUGUAUCAUCAGUCUGCACUUGAGCUUCAUUAUCCUCUGUUUCUUCCAAUAUUAUUUGAUCUAUAUUUACACUUUGCAAAAUGUAGAAUAAUGGCAACGCUUAUAAAGAAUUUUCUUUGGGGAAUUUAUUGAAUUAUCCUUCCAUCAACAUGGAGAAGGGCUUUGUCCAGCCCGUGUUACCAUGUAAUGUAAUUUCAUCCUUCUCAAGCCUUCAAACUUUGUUCUAGUAUAGAUUUGGAUAGGCAUCAUUUCCUCCACUCCUGUUUACAUCUGAUUGGAUGUUUGCAACAACUACCAGUUUUAAAUUGUAGUUGUAAAAACAUGUUCCUUAUGCAGAACAGAUCCAUUUAAUUGCUUAUAUAGUUGUGAAACCUGUUACGUGUCUCCUUCUUUCUCUUUCAGAGUCGUGUCUCUUAUGCCAGGAAGAACUUUAGGAAACAUAGUGAGCCAAACCAUCUUGAGGACAACGAGAUGACCCCAAGGUCCUAUCUUGACGAAGACAGUGAGUUGAAGCUACUCACCAGCAGGUGUGAGACAACCUCUGUGCAGUCGCUGCCUCAAUCAGUUCGACUUCUUCAGUAUCAACUUAAAGCGGAAAGGCUUGCUUCAGCUCAGCUCCGACUUGAAGUCAAAUAUGUAAUGAAAAUGUCAGGGGACUGCCUUGCGCACUAGGGUGCCAUACAGCUAGGGAUGAAUCAUCUAUCGUUGACACAACUGAGGUCUCAUCAGCUUGUUCGGCUGCUUGCGGGGCCCGGCCUUGCCAGGUCUAUUGCCUUCUGAAGUGCUCUCAGUUUUGUAUAUUCUUUUGUCGGUGCAUUUAUAUGCAUUGGUGGCGACCUUUCAUGCCCAAUGUAUGUAAUCCGCGGUCAUGUUGCGCUUUAUUAUCACCGGUAGCAAACUUUGAUUCCCACUGGAUGUAAUAUGCCGUAAUUUCUUUAUUGUACAGUCUAGGUUUAUUCUUUGGUCGGUAUGCUGUAAUUGAGGCCGGAAGGUUCAGUGGAUCUCAGUGUUGUCGGUCUUCAGGCCAGCCCGUUACUCAUAUAGGCCAAAACGUGGGCCUAUAAUCAUCUUGGGCCAUUAGCAGGUCUAAACCUAUAGUAGUUUCCCGCCUUUAACAUGCCAUGGUCUACAUAUUUACUGUAGUGACAUUGGGCGUCCUACGGAUCGUAGAAACAAUGGGCCUUCUACGGGCCGUAAAAACAAUGGGCCUUCUAUGAGCCGUAUCAUCAGUGGGCCUUAUACGGGCCGUAUGAUCGAUUUUGGCCAAACAUGGGCCAAAAAGAGACUGCAUUAUGGCCGUAAACGGGCUAGAGUUGGAGUCGUCCGUUCAUGGGCCGACCAUAAUGGGCCGUCGUUAAUAGGCCGUAUUUGAUGACGCUAUGAAAACAGCCCAACAUGUUAACGGGCCACAAACAGGCCGACUGUAACCACUGGCUGAAUUUGGCCCACAAGCAGAAAAUGACAGUAACGGGCCGUAAGUAACCGAAUGCUGGAAAUGAGCCCAAGAAUAAAUGGGCCCUCAGAAGGCCGAAAGAUAACAUGGGUUGCAAAUGUCCCAAUGGAUUAAUGGGCCAUUAAUGGGUAUAAAGUGAUACACUAUUCAUUACGGGCCAGUUUCACCACGGGCCGUUAAUGGGCCAAGAGUUACAAAGGGCCUCAUAUUGCCCGAAAGACGUCAUGGGCCAUACAUGGGCCGGAACUUAAAAUGGGCUGGAAUCAUAUUGGACGGCCCAGAUGACGCUACUGGGCCUAAUUCGGAUAGGUCGUAACGGGCCCUAAGUUAGCGGGCUGUAAAUGGGCUAUGCGAAUAGGCCGUUAAUAGACUUUUCAUGGGCCGGCCCGCCACCUUUUGACCAAGUCAAAUGGGCCGGCCUUUUCACAGGAAUGGGCCUCUGUUCGGCCAUGCCACGUGUCGACGUAUCAUAGGCACCUUUAGUCCAAUGAGUGGAUGACAUCAGUCCCAAUGGUGAGCCGACACGUGUUUCCUCCAGCCAAUGAUGAUUUUACAGGUGGAAAAUCCCCAUUGGCCGGGGCUGUUAGCGGGUUAUCGGAUCCAAAACCGGACCCGAUAGCUUAAUUGCGUUCCGUUACGGUGGAUGCCACGUGUCGGUCACCCUUGACGAAAGCACUUUUGUGAUGCACGAUUUAUCGUCAUGGAAGUGGAGACUUCCGUGAUGAUAAUUUUGGUAAUGUCAUGGAACACUUCUACGACAACACAGGUAUGACUAUCUUGAUUCUGUCAUAAAAUCGUCAUGGAUGUACAUGCAUGACAAAAAACGCGACCUACUGUGACAAACAUGUAUCAUCACGGAAGUGUAUUUUUUUGUAGUGCUCUAGCUCUUCUUCUCCUAUCUGAAGUUUGUUGAUGACUGCUGGGGAAACCAGAUUCAACCCGGCCCCUCCAUCCACUAACAUCUCUGUGACCUUGAGGUUGCGAAUUGUCGAGGAGACCAACAACGACAAGAAUCCUACCGCGGUGGUGCGGCCAGGGUGAUCCUCCUCAUCAAAGACAAUUGGCGCGCGGGACCAUUUGAGCGGUUUUCGGGCCUCUGCCGCUAGCUCCACGACAUUGAUCUCUCGUACCCAUCGCUUGAGCUGGCGGUGGGAGGCAUGCAAAGAUGCACCCCCAUCAAUGCAUAGGGUGUCAGUGGCCUUCCGAAAUUCCUGCUCACCGGUUUCUUCUUCAUUCCCUUCGUCACUCACAUCAUCACAAACUUCCUUCUCUUGACCCCUGGCGGGUUUUCCUAGGUUUUGAAAGGGUUUGCCGGGGCGAUUUUCUUCACCGCCACAACCCUUUUCACCAGUGGCAUUCUAACCUUUUUCCAUGUCAUGCUUAUCAUAUUUCGCUCUUUGUUUCUUGACAAGCCGCUCAACCUGGUAACACUCCUGAAGGUCAUGGCCCUUGGUCCGGUGGGUCUUGCCAUACGGGCCAUCGCCUUUCCCAGCUUUCUCGGCGGCAACGGCUUCCCGGCAGGUUGUGCAAGCGGCCACUUCCUUGUCGGGGGCCUCGGUCUUGGCCUUCUUGCCGGUACUAGGUGUGCCCGAACCGUCUAUAGUCAUCACUGCCUUAUCUCUUGGCUUCUUACUGCGCUUCUUGCCCUUUCUCUAACUAGUUGAUUCAUCUUCAUCCUCUGAAUCAACAUUGAUGCAAUCCUCCUCUCUGGGAAACUUCCUUCCUUCCUCCAUCCGAGCACACUUAUCCACCGGUGUGUAUAGCUCCUUCACAGUCUUCGGCAACCGCAAUCCAUCUUAGAACGAGUGUGACGGUUGCUCACAUUGGACUGGAAGGCUGCUAUGACGACUGACGGAUGGAUAUUUGGAAUAUUCCUAUGAACUUUACAGAAUCUCUGUAAAUACUUACAGAGAGUUUCUCCUUCCUUUUACUGGAGAAGUUGUAGGUCGUUGGCCCUGCUGGGCUCUUGGUGGCCACCAGUGAAGGCACCGAUGAACUCGUGGCACAAGUGUGCCCAUGACAAAAUGGAGUUCUUCAGCAGGUGCAUCAGCCAAGACCUCACGUUGGACUUGUGGGCCAAAGGGAAGUAGUUGGCGAACACCUUCUCAUCUCUUCCCCCGGUAGCCUGAACAACAAUGGUGUAGAUGCUCAGGAACUCUGCCGGGUUUAGCCUCCCAUCAUACUUCUCAGGUAUCUCUGGCUUGAACGUGCAAAUGGACGGCCAACGGACUUGCCGCAGCUCUUGUGUAAGGGCAGGGUAGCCGACCUCGAAAGGUAGGCACCCGCCAACACCAAGCGCAGGCUCGUCGACGUUGAGGACGCCGCACCCGUCGAUCUGGCGGAGGUCGUCAUGGUGUCGAUCUAUGACGAUGCGUGCGUCUCCCCGCGGCUAAUCCUCCGGGGCUCGAUGUUGGCCUGGACGUUCUCGAGGGUUAGAAGAGGCCAUCGAGACGUUGUCGGGGUCUUGAUUCAGCUGCGCCUGCGUCGGCUGCCGUGGUGGGGACUGCACUAUGGGGACGACCCCCUCCGUUCGGCCAGUAGUACGGGCGGUUGCUGUGGCUUGGGGAGGUCAUGGGCCAGCUCGUCCUGAGCCCCCACCUUCGGUGAAACCGAGCAGGCUCUGGAUGGUGGCACGUCAUGCAUCCAUCUGCUCGGUAGCUGGCGGGAACCUCAGUAGCAACUGAGCUCGCGCCAUAGCCUCUGAGGCUGUGCUCGGCAUAGAUGUUGAUGAUGUCGACCGCACCGUCACCUAGCUCCUGAUUAUGUGAGCGGCGGUGACGGCGGUGGUUCCGCGUCCACACAGCUGCGGGACGACCACCUGGGUAGCAGGGUCGCACGGUGGUGGUGCUCGAGGGUUAGUGGCUCCAUUGAGCGCAGUCGUCUAGUUGGCUCAUCUGGGAGGAGGCACAUGGGCCAUGAUCGCUCCCGCGGCGGGGGCGGCCGGAGGGCGAUGUCUCAACCCAGGCCGAGCACCAUUGCUGUAGCUGUGCGCGUCAGUGGGAGGAGAGGGUGCAGAUGGAGUGACCCCCUCACCCGCACCUUGUGUAGCGUGACCGCCAAGGCGUUACUGAUGUUGUUCUCCUCCGAUAUCUCCAGCUCCCGUGUCGGUCGCAGGGGGAGUGGCGAUGGUGCCACCUGCUCCAAUCACGCCCCCAGCAGCAUUCAUAUCCUCGCUCGCCCCCGCAUCCCCCGAGGCACUAGAGGCUGUGGGCGACAGAGCCUUCGAGGUGGACGGAUGGGCCGAAGGGUCGAACUUCUUCCUCUAAGGCGCCAUGGUCGAUGGUGUCGUCAAAUACGAAGAUGGUGAUGAAGAUGAUGCACUGUGCAUGCCUUCAGGUUCGCGCAAGCGAGCCCCCUACCUAGCGCGCCAAAGAUGUCGCGGGAUAUCCAUGGCCACCUAUGGGACCAGGAGGCCCCUUGCUGGUUCGGCAGGGGGACGUCGCAUUGCGCAAAGAGCAGACCAAUGCAGGGCAACACGGUAGAGAGCACACAAGCAAUUUCCCCAGGUUCGCGCCGCCGCGAGGCGUAAAACCCUACUCCUGCUUUGGUGGAUUGAUGGUGGAAUGGAGGUGGUGAAGCAUAGUACACUUGCCCGGCAGGGGUUGCCUUGGGGCGGUAGCGACUACGUGCGUAUGGGUGUGUGGGUUCGUCCACUUUCCAACCCUUCCUACGGGUGCCAUGGGCCUCCUUUUAUAGAUCAAGGGGUCACCACAAUUGCAAAGUAGUCAUUAUCCACUGAUAUGAUAGCAAACAAUGCUAUCAUACCUAACUCUGCGGGCUGACAGGGUGCAUGAAAUGCACUGCCUAGUGUCACAUCACUGGUUGCUCUACAAGGCUUGUCGGGCUAUCAUGCCAGCUCUGCUCCUGUUCUCUUGACACGUCAUAGGACGGGUGUCAUCUAUGGGUUCCUUCUGUAGUAAACGGCCACCAUGUGGCGAAAGGCUGCCACUUAAUCACCUUGUGGCUUGACACUGCACUGAUUGACGAUGUGGGUCAUGCUUGAGUGGUUGGUGGGGUGGUUCUGCCCCCGUGAGCCCUUGCAAACCUUGCCUGGGUUCCUGGGUUACCUACUUCUGGUGGUGGCCUCAUGUAACACCCUCGAUGCGACUAUAUCUCCCACGUGUCGGGGCACGACUUAGAGGCAUAAUCGCAUUGAAGGCAUAUGUCGCAAGUUAGGCAAUCUUCACAACAUCCCAUGUAAUAUAGAUAAUAAAAGGGGAGAUAACAUAGUUGGCUUACACUCGCCACGUCAAUCAAGUACAUAAAUAACAUUACAUCAUCCAAACACUCAUGGCCCGACUACGGCGCCAAAAUAAAAGAGAACCCAACAAGCGACAUGGUCCCGAUCAACCCCAACUGGGCACCACUGCUGAUCAUCAGGAAAGGAAACAUAGUAACGUUGAGAGUCCUCGUCGAACUCCCACUUGAGCUCAAGCGCGUCACCUGGAGCAGAAUCAUCAGGCCCUGCAUCUGGUGUAAUAGUAAUCUGUGAGCCACAGGGACUCAGCAAUCUCGCACCCUCGCGAUCAAGACUAUUUAAGCUUAUAGGUAAGGCAAGGUAAAAUAUAUGUGGAGCUGCAGCAAGCGACUAGCAAGUAUGGUGGCUAUCCUGUUCGCAAAAGAGAGCGAGAAGAGGAGGCAAAGCGCGAGCGAGAAACUAGAGAACAACCCGCGCAAACAUUACUCCAACGCCAUGUCCACUUCCCGGACUCCGCCGAGAAGAGGCCAUCACGGUAACACACUCAGUUGAUUCAUUUUAAUUAAAUUAAGGUUCAAGUUAUCUACAACUGGACAUUAACAAAUUCCCAUCUGCCCAUAACCACGGGCACGGCUUUCAAAAGUUCAAAUCCCUGCAGGGGAGUCCCAACUUAGCCCAUGACAAGCUCUCACGGUCAACGAAGGAAUAGACCUCCUCCCAAGACGUUCCGAUCAGACUCGGUAUCUCGGUUACUCAAGACAGUUCGACAGGUUAAAACAAGACCAGCAACACCGCCCGAAUGUGCCGACAAAUCCCGAUAGGAGCUGCACAUAUCACUUUCUCAGGGCACACUCAGAUUGUCCAAACUUCCGGUAGGCCAGCCCAGAGUUGCCCCUGGUAGCCACCGGCGGCUGACAGUUUGGACCAACACUCAGAGGAGCACUGGCCCGGGGGGUUAAAUAAUGAUGACCCUUGAGUCUGCAGAACCCAAGGGAAAGAAAAGGCUAGGUGGAAAAUGGUAAAAUCAAGGUUGGGCAUUGCUGGAAAAGCUUUAAUCAAGGCGAACUAUCAAGGGGUUCCCAUUAUAACCCAACCGCGUAAGGAACGCAAAAUCCGGGAACAUAACACCGAUAUGACAGAAACUAGGGCGGCAAGAGUGGAACAAAACACUAGGCGAGAGGCCGAGCCUUCCACCCUUUACCAAAUAUAUAGAUGCAUUAAGAUAACAAGAUAAUAUAAUGAUAUCCCAACAAGUAAAUAAAUGUUCCAACAAGGAACGGCCUCCAAACUUCACCUGCAAGUAGCAACGCUAUAAGAGGGGCUGAGCAAAGCGGUAACAUAGCCAAUCAAUCAUUUGCUAGGACAUGGUGGGUUAGAGGUUUGACAUGGCAAUUUGGGAGGCUUGAAAGCAAGUGGUAGGCAUCGUAGCAUUGGCAUAGCAAAAGAGCGAGCAAACUAGCAUAGCAAAGAUAGUAGUGAUUUCGAGGGUAUGAUCAUCUUGCCUGCACAGUUGUCAGAGUUGACUGGAUCCUCGAAAGCAAACUCAACGGGCUCCUCGUUAGCGAACUCGUCUCCCGGCUCUACCCAAACAAGACAAACAAGCAACAAGGAUACAAUCAACCACGUGCAAGACUCAAACAAUAUGAUGCAAAGAUGAUAUGCUAUGCGGGAUGCGAUGCGGGAUGCAUAUGCAAGAUGUGACAGGGAAUGCAUGAACCUGGCCUCAACUUGGAAAUCCAAGUGUGCCACUGGAAAGAUGAGAUGAAAUCGCUUGAAAACGAUAUAAAUAACACCGGAAUCCGAGUUAUGGUUUGGAAAUGGCAAGCGAUUCAAGAAUGACACCGGUCUGCGAUUUACAGCAAGUAGCCAUCUAAAUGCAAUGAGAUGAACAUGCUACAGCACUCAAACAUGACAACCAAAUACAUGGAAGGGAUGCAUUCAAGAUGCUUAACAAAAGUCUAGCACUGAGCUACGGCCAAUUCAUCCAUUAACAGGUUCAAACAAGCAUGGCAAAAAUGCAUAUGGCAAACAGAUCUCAGACUUAGUGAAAUUAACACUUGUCUGGAAUUUCAGAUCAGGUAGCACUCUUCGGAGCAACAAAACUACAUGCUACAAGACCUGAACAUGGCAAAGUAAAGCAUGGCAUGGAGCUACUCAAAGAGCUUAACAAAAGUCCCUUAGUGACCUUGAGCCAAAAGGGAUCAGAAAAUACAACUGCAAGCAUGUGAACAUAACAAAUGCAUAAUCAGUUUUCAGACUUAGUGAAAACUGGAACAUGCUAAAACAUAACUCAAGUAGGCAUGUUUACGAGCUCGAUGCACUCACUACGGAGCAAGUCAUGAAAAUAUAAGCAUACAUCCGUCAAGAAGGCACAAAAUGAAAGCUAGACAUGGCAAGAACAAUAGCAUAGCAUGCACGGAUCAACUACAACAUCAUCGGCAAAAUUGCAAACAAGUUGACAAUCUGCCCAGAUUCACAAAGUAGCAAAAAUAGAGCUCGAUUGACUCAAGAUAGGGUGCUCCAUAAAUGCAAACAAAGAAAUGGAUGGAUAGAGCACUACAAGAUUAACAAAAAAUCCUUAGUGACCAUCCUCAAAAGAGGCACGGAUCACUAGGAAACAACAUGAACAUAUGGCAUCAUGAGAUAAACAGCUCAAGGACUUAGUGGAAAUGCUAAGUCCCUGAAAACAGAAUUACUAAGUGCACCACUUUGCAAGCUCGUGCUAGUCACCACACACAUCACAAAAAUACAUGGGUUGCACCUCUGGAAAGAUGACAAAACCCUUAACAAAACAUAUGUAUAACUCAGGGGCAUAUCAUGCACACAUUAAUCAUGGCAAAAAUGACAAAAAGCUAAAUGGAGCAGCAGAUCUGACAAUUAUCUCAAGUAGCCCUCUUCUAACAGCAUUUCGGGCAUCAAGAUGAACUUAAAUGAAAAUGAUGCAAUGGAAUGAAAUGAUGUACUCUCUGAGAUGAACAUUUUGAUAUGCUAUAUGCAUGAAUCGGAGCUACGGAUGCAAAGUUACGAGGGCAUGAACAGGAGCACUUGGAUCUGAGAUUUCGGGACUUAGAAGAAAAAAACACAUCGCGGAUCUAGGGUUUACUGUUCACAGCACGCGAACCGAGGCGGAAUCCGGCGAGGUGGCGGCUGCUCCGGUGAGGGGAGUCGAGGGGGAGGUGAGGGAGAGGCGAGGCCGGCCCCCUCUCGUCCCGAUCCGGCGAGGGCGGCGGCUCCGGCCGGCUAUGGCGANNNNNNNNNNNNNNNNNNNNNNNNNNNNNNNNNNNNNNNNNNNNNNNNNNNNNNNNNNNNNNNNNNNNNNNNNNNNNNNNNNNNNNNNNNNNNNNNNNNNNNNNNNNNNNNNNNNNNNNNNNNNNNNNNNNNNNNNNNNNNNNNNNNNNNNNNNNNNNNNNNNNNNNNNNNNNNNNNNNNNNNNNNNNNNNNNNNNNNNNNNNNNNNNNNNNNNNNNNNNNNNNNNNNNNNNNNNNNNNNNNNNNNNNNNNNNNNNNNNNNNNNNNNNNNNNNNNNNNNNNNNNNNNNNNNNNNNNNNNNNNNNNNNNNNNNNNNNNNNNNNNNNNNNNNNNNNNNNNNNNNNNNNNNNNNNNNNNNNNNNNNNNNNNNNNNNNNNNNNNNNNNNNNNNNNNNNNNNNNNNNNNNNNNNNNNNNNNNNNNNNNNNNNNNNNNNNNNNNNNNNNNNNNNNNNNNNNNNNNNNNNNNNNUGGCCAGCGCGGAGGCGAUAUUUAGGGUUUCGGGGGGAGAAGGAGAUCCGAAUUUGGGGGGGGGGGUCUAUUUAUAGGCAUAGAGAGAGCUAGGAGAGUCCAAAUGAGGUGCGGUUUUCGGCCACGCGAUCGUGAUUGAACGAUCUAGAUGAUGGAGAAGGCUUAGGUGGGUUUUGGGCCAAAUUGGAGGGGUGUUGGGCUGCAACACACACGAGGCCUUUUUGGUUCCUCGGUUAACCUUUGGAGUAUCAAACGAAGUCCAAAUGGUACGAAACUUGACAGGCGGUCUACCGGUAGUAAACCAAGGCCACUUGGCAAGUCUCGGUCCAAUCCGGAAAUGUUUAAUCCCCACACAUGAAAGAAAGCUAGAAAUGACCACCGGAGGAGAACGAAGCGCCGGAAUGCAAAACAGACAACGGGGAAAAUGCUCGAAUGCAUGAGAUGAACACGUAUGCAAAUGCAAUGCACAUGAUGACAUGAUAUGAGAUGCAUGACAACGAUCACAACACACAGAGACAAAGACCCGAACCCAAGAAAAUAAAAUAACUUAACACCGCAACGACAAGAGUUGGAGUACAAAUUGGGAAAGUUACAUCCGGGGUGUUACACCUCGCCCCUUGCCGAGCUCGCCUACCCGGUAAGGGAGGCCCUUCUCUUGCCGAUAUGUUGCUCCUCUUGCUUGAUCUUGGUCCCUCUGAGCUGUAUGUUGGCUCUUCAAAUCUCUUGGUCCCUCAAUCUCUGACUUAAGCUAGUGCUUCAAUCUUGUUCUUGUGCAUGUGCAUAGUCCGAGCAAUGGACCCAGGGUUCAUUGCACCGACACAGCAGUGGUAGACGAGGACAUGGUGGUGCACACACAUCUGGGUGGCAACGACCUUGGGACGAGACCCGACACGAGCGUGGGUGUACUCGAGGUCAAACCCGACCACCUUGUACUUCUCCUCGGCAAGCAAGAGCUCCAUGAUGUGGAUGGAGUGCUCCACCCAGACCGGGUCAUUGGUGUACUCCACGGAGAGCUCCGUGAACUUCUGUGCGUGUCCACCACGGCAUGCAUGGUGAACUGCUGCUCGUCAUUAGCAGCCGCUCGGAGCGCCAUUUGAGCCAUGCGGGAUACCCUCUAAGAAUUUAUCAUGGUGGGUGUGCUUCUUGCAAUGGUGGGGCGCAAUCGAAAGGUUGAAGAGACACAAGGGUUAAAUGGCCGCUGUAAUAAAUGGGGGCCAUCCGGCCUAUAAUCGUCACGUCUUGUCACGACAUUCAUAGCAGAGGAUUCCAGUGCAUGCUUGACAACACCGCACUGCAUGCGUUUCAUUUGACCACGCGUGGGCUCGAAGAGGCGCUAAAUGUAUCGUCGAUGAUCCUGUUCCCGCGCUACCGCGUAGUUUACCAUGCUAGCUUCCCGCCCGACUAGUUUGGCCACGCCUCGGCUAGAGAGGGACAAAUCGUGGGCGUUUAUUGGCAAAAAGCAUUGUAAAAACGAAGUGUGUGGCAUGACUUCGGUCAUAAUUUUACCCAUGGGUGAUGAGGUCAAAGUUACACAAAAGAGUGAUGAUGGACACUCGAAUGCGAUAAUUAAUUCUGCGCUCUAUAGGGCACACAGUUGAAGAAGCCAAUUGUGUGCAAUAAUGUCGAAGAUCGCAGUUAAGUUAGCUAUACAGAUCGUGUGCUGUGAGACCGACAAGGUAAACAGAUUCGAGAAUGGUUAAUAAAAUCUAAGACCAUUGCAUAUUAAGGUCAAAAUAGUGCUACCAAUAUACAAGUCUCAUACGAUGCCAUUUCAAAGAUUGUACCACAAAAGCUCAAAAUAUUACAAGGUUCAAAUUCCAGAGUUAUAUGGCUCAAAUUCGAAGAUUACAAGGUUCAAACUGAUAUUAGAAAUGAAAUUCAACUCAUCAGCUGCAAACACUCGCGCUGAUCCACUAAACAUGGAUAUUAGAGAGGUUCAAACUAAUAUGACCGCUUCUAAGUCUGGUUUGAAAACCUCAUUAUUUUUGCAAAGGGCUUAGCCACUGAGAAGUCAUGUAUGGGGGUGACACGAUGACUUCCGAUUACUCUCUCAUCUGAAGUUCCAAAUUGAAAUUCAGCAUUUUUGGAGCCUAUUCCAUUCUGCCGCAGGUGCCGGCACUGAUCAACAAACCAUUCAUUUUUGCGAAAUAAAUGUAGGGCAAACCUCAUUGCCUUCAGCACCUUUGCUCUCAAAACAAAGAACAUGGCGAAUAUAAUCUCCGGUAUGGUCCCACGGUAGGAGUUCAAAGUAAUUUCUGAGAGAUGCAGAUCUAGGCAUUCGACGUGAUUGCUAUAUUGUACCACAUUAUCCACCACUGGGGCUAAUCUUAUCUGCGAAUGAAGAAAACGUGUUAGUAACUACAUGUAGUUUUGAACACUAUUACAGGUCCAUUUGGUUUGCAGGAUUUGUAAAAUGCACUAACAUGCCAUCUUCAAUCUGACAUGAUUAACAUGGGCAUCUGAUUACAUUCUAGAAAAAUGU